rnacentral:lncRNA from 1 species
UUUUUUUUUUUUUUUGUGACAAAAAAAUUAGGAGAGAAUUGAGAAAAUUAAAGAAGCAAAGAAUGGGUUGAGCUUGAAUGAAACAAUAGAUGAUAUUUUACAUCUUAAUUAGAAUAUCAUCUUUUACACCUUUUUCUUGGAGAGACAACAAAGCAAUCUUCCAAUAAUUAAUUGAUUAAUUACAUUAAAACGUUUAAUUAUUCAUCUUGACAGCCUGUACUGUGUAUGUCCAAUGUGUGUGUAUGUGUGUGAGAGAGGGAGGGAGAUUAAUAGAAAGAAAACGUUAAUACUCUCUUUAAUAAAUGUACAAAAAUUUGUUGGAAGAAUACCAAUAUAUUAUGGAAGGAAAGAUCAAACGUUUUGAGAUUAGAAGGGGGAUUAGGACGAAUUUAAAGUUUAUGAGUUGAAGAUUCUAGUUUUUUUAAUUUAUUGAAUAAUCAGUUGAUAAUUAUCGACAACUAAUUAUAACAAUCCACAGUAAUGGGGGUGGGAGAUGACACUUAUGGAUGGCUAUGAUGGUGGUUGAUAUUGGUGGCUAAUGGUGAUAAUGGUAAAUAAAUGAAAUUGGUGAAUCAUCAUCUUUGUAGAAAUCUUAUAAUAAAUAUCUUAAUGAUAUUAAAACUUUGUUAUAAAUUUUAAUAAGUCUGCAGACUCAUUAAGUGAUUGUAACAUGAAUAAAAACAAGCACACUUAGGAGUUGUUUGGUAGGGAGUAUUAAUACGAAUACUUCAUGUAUUAUGUAUGAUAUUAUUUAGUACUAUGUUUGGUAGGAUUUUAGGCCAAUGCAUUACUAAUUGAGAUUGAUAUUCCAAUCUUUCUUCUUAGAACGUAUUGAUUUGACCCCAUAAGCGGGGCCAAUCAUGUUGCCGCCAGAAGCAAAACCCCGUAUAGAAUCUCCUAAUUGUUCCAAAGCUACUAGAAAGGGAUUCUUUAACCAUGAAUUAGUUAUACAUAUAUCUUCCAUUUGGUCAUAUUAGUAAUACAUAAAAUUUGGUACCAUGGGAUUGAUCUUUGUAAAUACAAAAAUAGCCCUCAAAUCUUUUUAAUCAUUUUCUUGAUUUUAUGUUUUAUAUUUAUACUUGUAAAUUUAUUGAAAUAAAUUAGCUUAUUAUUUAGAGAGAAAGUUGUUUGUUGGUAAAUAAAUCCAAUGUAAAUCAAUACAAUAAUUCAAUGUAAAUAAAUCCAUGAGGUUGGCCCAAAAUCUUAUCCAAGCGAACAAAAAAUAUCAGACUUUUCCAAAUCCAUACUACCCUUCAAGAGUAGAUCGUAAUGAAGAAGGACACGACGACUCACCAUCAAUGUUAACGUCAGAAAAUCAAUAAAAAUAGAUGAAUUUUAGAUAUAUACACUUUAGGCAUUUACAAGUUUCACAUAUGUUGUGUGUCAAUUUCACUACAAGAAAGAAAAAUGUCAAUUACAUAGGGAUUUUUCUGGAGAUUGUAGAGGCAAAUUCGCAAGUUCCUACGAAUUUUCCUAUAAAAAAAAUCCGAUGGUAAAACCUUUCUAGGUAAUUAUUUUCUUACUUGGGAAUUUUCUUGCAAAUAAUAUUAAAAAUAUCCCAAAUAUUUUUGGUAAAAAAAACAGAUUUUUCUAUAAACAAUAUUAAUUAUUAUAUUAUCAUCCGAUAAUUUUUAUUUUUUUAUUUUAUUUUGUUCAUUAUACCCUAGGCCACAUACACACUUACUUUGGAUUUCUAGUUUUAACUCCACACAGCCCAUUCAUUCAAUAUAUUACAAUUACACAUUACACAACUUAAUUAAUUUCAUGCCCACCACCCUGUACAUAUUUCCUCAAAUUUAAUUCUCUUUCUUUUCUUACUAAGAAGAUUAUAAAUGCAAAAUAUUUGGUGUCUUCCACCGAUGUGGUACGAAAAGUACCAUUGACACAAUCAAUUUUUGGUGUCUUUCCCUAAUUUGUUCAAUUUUUAAAUUUAAUCAUGACUGUUUUUUUCACCCUCCUUUGUUGAUUGUGAGUGAGUUUCCUAUUGAAAAUUUCUAAUUCUUAGAUUUGAGACUUGGUUUCUUCUGUCCAUGUUUAAAAUUAUUCUUGCAUCUAUUGAUAACUCUUUGUAUGAUAUACUAUCAACACCUGCAAAAAAGUUAAAAAAUUUCACAAUUUUAUUUUACUCUUUUAUACACAUGCUCCACCACUAUUGAAACGCCUUCCAUCAAUCUCAAAAUCCUCCUUACUUUUAAAGCAACACUCAAAGGAAUCUCCUAUAUAUCAUCUACGAUUUUUUUAACAAAAAAAAAAGAAUCCAUUUUCAUAGAAAGGCAGAAUAUUUUGAGUGAUAAAAUAUUCCAAUUCAAGCCUAAAUGCUUUAACUUUAAGAGUUCUGUCUUCAGCUAGAGAAUUUGAAUACAUCAUAUCCUAGGGUAAUAAUGAUUCAAUCAAUAAAUCAGAUCAGACCAUGAAGAAGACAUAUUUAUUAACAUAGUUUUGGCCAUUAAAUAUUAGAUUAUUCCUAUUAAUACCCAUCUUCAUGAGAUGCAUGUAACCUUUCUCCUUCUCCAUAUUUUUCACACAAUAAUAAACAUAGGUAUAACUUUAAACAAAGGCUUCAAUUUAGGAGCCACAUCUUUUGUUUCCACUUAUUAAAUAUGUCUCUAAACUGGAUAAAGCAAUUGCUGCAAAAAAAAUUCCACAUUAUCUCAUAAUCGAGGCAUAUAAUGAAAAGGUGUUCAAUAGUUUCUUGAUCAUAGCAACAACACGCCACAAAAUAAAAAAUUCUGACAACUUCUUCAACUGACAGUUUUUUCCGAGUUAAUAUCUUAAAAAGCUAGCAAAGUCAUUAAACUUUGUUUUAUAUCAAUAAAAUCACUCAACUUAAGACAUUUAUCUACAAAAAUCACUCAACUACAUUUAUCAUUAAAAUAAAUUAUUUUUUAGGCUAUAUAAACAUGAACCCCCUAAAAAAUAAUGUUUUUAAAAACCAUUUUAUCCUUUUUAUCAAUGAUUCAGUUCCUUGUCUAACCACAAACGAAAAUAAUUAAAUUUUGGGUGUAAAAUACAUAUUCAUAAGAGAUCCACAAUCAUAUUACAACCAGCUAGCGCCUAGCAACAUAAAUGUAAUGAAAUUUUAUAAAUCACAUUCAAGGAAUUGAAAAGAAAAACCGCACGUUAUUACUCAUUAAUUAUUUUGGUUUAUACACUAUUACUCAUUUAUUUAUAUUAAUAUAUUUGUAUAUGGAGACUGGACUCUGGAGUAUCUAACCAAUAGAUAAUAAUUAUUUCAGCAAACAACAAAAAAAACCUUUUACGAAUAGUGGCACAAAAUCUAGAAAAUGAAAAUUGAAGCAACGUGGGAAAUGCGGGUUUAUUCGGAGGUUGAAUAUAAAAUUUUGACUUCUGAAAUUCAUAGAUAUUUAUGUGAUAUGUAAAAUAAUUUAUAUGUCAUAUUAAAUUUAAUUUGAGGAUAAAUUAAAAAAAGAAGAAGAGAAAAAGCAUAAUAUGAUCAGUUGAUCAAGCCGGAGAAAUAAAGUAGUUAAAACUUCAACCGAUAGAAUAAAUGAAGCCGGAGAAAAAAGGUGUCCUUGGUUGAAUGAAAGAAACCACGUACUUGAUCAAAAUUAAAUAUCAAUUGUUUGCAAUCAGCCUCCACACUUGAUCAGUAACACCAACAUCAAAUUCCAUAUAUUUUUAGAACUUUACCUAAGAAAUUCCAAUUCACCAUGUCAUGAUAUGCCUUGGCCAUAUCAAGUUUAAUCACUAAAUUUGCAGAUUUGCCUCUGCAUUUGAUAUCAGAAAUAAUUUUUUGAGCUAAAAAAAGCACAUUCUCUGUAAUAUUUCUGCAGUUUAACAUGAAAGCCAGAUUGAUUCUUAGAGAUCAGUCUAGAUAUAUAAUACCUCUUCUAUUCUAUCAUGUACAGUUCUAAAUAUUACCUAAUACUUCUUCUGCCAUUUACAAGAUUGUGAACGAAUCUUGUAUUAUUUUCUCCUUCAAUAAAUUAUUGGAUCUCAAAUUUGUGCUUUCAAAACUCCUCCUCAUAUAAUUUCAAUUCUACUUGAGCCUUUUGAAGUACCAUUCUAUUACUUGCAGAGGAUUAUUUCUUCUCUGUUGAAAAAUAUCUUUAAACCUUUUUUCUACUCCAAUGAUCAGAUAGAGCAAUCUUAGUCUUCUUUAAUUUCUGCUUCAAGUUAUAAAUGAACAUAUCACUCUCUACUGACACUCAAUUGCUCCUUACCACAACCAAAAAGUCCUUAUUUUCAGUUCAAAAUUUUAAGAAUUUGAAAGGUUUUUCACCACCAUAUUUUGAGCACCACAGGAAAUUAAGGAAAAGUGGAGCAUGAUGAGACCCAGAUCUAGAUAAAUGUGCCACCUCAACUACCCCAAAGCUACUACUGAAAACAUGCAUUGACCAAAUAUCUAUCAAAAAUACACUCAUGACAAACUCUACAAAGCAUAAGGACUUCCUUUAAAAUUGAUAUACAAAAGUUCUUAUAAAAAGAAAAAAUUUCAUAUUCCUGAGGAUAUACCUCCAAUCUUUUACUCCUCAUGCAAUAUCACAUUAAAAUCUCCAACUAUCAAUCAAUUGAGGGUCCUCUCGUGUGAAUCACACUUUGCAUACACUGCUGUUUGCCCGUCUCCUGAAAGUGUAAUUGUAAUGAUAUUUACAGCUUAGUAUCAGAGAUAACCCCAACAUGUAUAUAGUCUUGAACAAAUAUCCAGAUCUUUCCAUUUUGAUUGUGAUUGACACACUACAUCCCAAACAUUCUCUUAGAUGGCUCCAUUCAGGCAAUAACAACAAAUUUAUGAUAUCUGUGAAGCAUUUGAAUUCUCUGAAAUGAAUUUUAAGUCCUUACCAACUUUACAUUUCAAACCAAAGCUUGGAAAUUAUUUAAAAUUUGUUUUUACCCCUACUAGGAUUAACCCUAAUAAAUUGUUGUUCAACAUUUCUACCUUUGGAUUUGCUUAUGGGUGAUAAUCCAGCAACUGACAUGAUUUUGUAUUCAGUGUUCUGAUUAUAUUGUUCUUCUUUUUCCCUUUUGUUGUGAUUUCAAACUAUUACUCAUUUUCUCUAUCUUUUCAUUCUGAUGAGAGAUAAUGUUAUGCAACACCUGAACUGGAGAUGCAUUCUUGCUGACUACUAAAGAGUUCUCUUGUAACAACCCUUCAUGUCAUUUUUUUAAAGACUUUUUUGGCGUUUAGAGCUUUUCUGUAAUGAACUCAAAUAAUAUGUGAUUUGUUAGGACUAACAGUUCGGUUGUGUGGUUAUUCGUUUGAAUUUUGUGCAUGUUCCUGUGUUUUGGAUUUUAAUAUUUGAAUGGUUGAUUUUGAUUAAAACUUCAGGUAGACGACCUGAAAAUAAAAUUCGAAAGGUUCGGUUAACUCUAGAACAUCGAGUUUGGUCUAGAAGGACCUUUUGUGGGUUUUGUCUUUAAAUGGAGGUUGGGUCCAUUUUUUUUUAUCAAAACGACCUCGGUUGAUUCCAAAAAUUUGAAUUUUAUGGGGGUAACAUAGCUCAUUUACAUGCACGAGGUUCGAAACAAAUCUUGAGCACCCCAUAAGAGAUUUUGAGCCUUGUUGCAUCAUCUGAUGUUGAACCAGCUCCUCUUCACGUUCGCAUGCGUUAGGCCGCGUUCACGGAGGACAUUGAUUUCGGUCUCCGCAUUAAUUUGCAAAAGGCAGAUGUCGUGAUCACGAAGGCAUGUUGCCUUGUUCACCGCGUCCCUCUGCGAUCGCAGAGAGAAAUCGCCUCCACAUUCGCGAUGAAGGACCAGGGUUGAGCCGGUCCUUUUGACCACCGCGAUCAUGUUCGCAGAAGGUAAUUUCCUGGUUUUUAAUAUAAAGAUCAAGAUCGAUUUCACCAGUUGAGCUAAUAUUGAAAAUUCAAUUUCUCGAGCUAGGGAGAUCCAAUUUUGGUGAUUUCAAGUGUGUUGAGUCUAGAUAGAAUAGACUUGUUGCCUUACUCAUAGCAUAGUUGGUGUCUUUAUCCUCCUUAGGACUGAUACUUUUGGCCUUAGUCUAGCUGCGACUUAGAUGCAUGCUUUAGUGAUUCUUAUACUUACCUUAUAUGUUGCCCCUGUAAGUAAUUAUUACAAUUAUUGGUAUCUUCCAUUAUUUCUCAGGACUUAGUUGCUUGUCACAACCGUAGGUUGACUUUAGCUAGACUUAGUUACGUUGUCGAUCAUGAAUUAUUCUCCGUUGAUUUUUUGAAUUCUUCAUUAUUUCCUUUGUGUCUUGAGUACCGGUGAACCUGUUAUGCUGUUACUAUUGAGGAUGUUGGUAUAUUGUUGGGCCCGAGCCCUUGGUUGAGGACCAACUGGAGUUUAGUUCAGUUUUCUUUGUUCUGAGUGUGUGAUAGUAUUGGUAGUGUUUAUCUAGUUGUUUGACUACUGUUGAUUGGAUGUUGGUGAUGACAUGCAUUGUAUUUGUCACUUAAUUUCACUUAUAUUGCGGUACCAUCCUGGUUCAUGCAUUGGAUCAUCAUUACUAUUUUUGAGAAAAUUGUUUUCACACUCUUGCUCUUUUAAAAUUGAUUUUAAUGGGAGUACGUCGUACCACCUGGAUCUCUUUGAUAAACUAAUUUUUGAGACACUAAAAAUAAGUAAGUAUUAUUGAUUGGAAACGAAUUAUUAGAAGAAUCAAUUAUACAAUAAAAUAAAGUAUUACAACAACUUAAGAUCUCAAUGACUUAUAGAAGAAUAUAGUAGCUAUGUCCAAAAUUAUUUGAUUGGACUAUGUCCUAUUACAAAAUGGACCCCACAGUAUAAUGAGAAAAAUAAGAAUGGUGUAAGAUUAGAAAACAGAGCUAUGUAGUAAUAUAAUCCAACGUAGACUGUUAACAAGAUAUUCCAGACAGCUCUUUCUUAGGUACAUACAAAUCUCCAACGCAUGAGCUAUAUUAUAUUGUGUUGUGAUAGUACAAAUCUCAACUAAUAUCGUACUACAAUAGUGUAAAUCUUUUGAGAAAUAUUACAUAAGCUUGAUUUAGUAUGAAUUAUAUUAAAAGUAUGUUUAAACUGACGUAAUUCAAUACAUUGAUGAUACAACUAGUUCAGAAGUGUGAAGAAAUGAAGUUGGGUUAACCAAGAUAUGAUGUUAUUAUGUUCACAAUUCAAUGAAGGGAUAAAAGGAACCUAAUCCUUUUUUUUAAUCCUUAUAAGAAUCAAUCAUCGUACUCUGCCUUAGCUUGUUUAAUAAUUAUUAUAAUUAACAGGAGGUGAAAGAAAAUAAAAGAUAAAACAAGUGUAACUAGAACAUGUUUCAAAAUGUUUUCCGAUCCAAAGACAUGUUAAUGUUAAUUAUAUUUCACAUAAUUUUUCAUAAAAAUAUAAACUAAAUUUGAGUUUGUUUUUUCUACAACCACUCACAUGGAAAAAUAAAGAAAUUGGAAGACCAUUUUUUUAAAAAAAAAUUCAACAUUCUCACAGUUGGACUUGAUAAAAUUCUGAUUGAGGUGCAAAUCGUUUUCUAACAAAAACAACUCUAUACUCAAAAGAGACUCAAACUUUCCAUCACAUUAUUAAUUUGCGUUGGUUAAAAAAGACUUGCUACUAUUACUCACUGUAAUCUAUAUGUGUACAGAAACAAAUUCAAGAUUUAAAGUUUAUCAAUUUUUACAACAAUCUUAAAUUAAUAUAUAAUAUUAAUUGAGCUCACAACUGAAUAUUCACCAUAAAUAUUCAAUAUGUAUCUUAAUACAAUUUAUAUAUACUGAUACAGGCACGAGGUCAACAUGCUUAUCUGUCCACUUAAGGAUAUUUUUGGUACUUUUGAUAUUUUAUGAUUUGAUGUUAUUGUGCUUUAAUGUUUUAUGCUUAUACUAUUUCUACUUUGGCCAAAAAUAUCCUCCCAAUAUGCCUUUUUUUUAAAACAUAAAAGUGGGGCCCAUUAAUUUUCAUUUGAUAACAUCAUCGAUGUAUUGAAGGAUGCUUUGGUAAUUUUCAUGUGAUAAAUUCGUUUUAAUUUUUAAUCAUUUACUAUUAAAUAAACUUUAUAAAAUAUUAUAAAUCAGGAUAAUUAAUAACUUAAAAUAUUCAAAAAAUAUAAAACAUAUAAAAAAUUUGAUUGACUCUUCAAAUUUUAUCAUUGACGCAUAAAUCGGGACAAAUGGAGUAAUACAUAUUAUUUGAAAAUUACAUAAAAAAUACUAUAAAUUACAAUAUUUAACAACUAAAAAAUUUCCAAAGACAUGAAUCUCGAAAUUUUAUUAGUGCCACAUAAAUUGAGAAAGAAGAAAUAACCUUUAUUAUUUGAAAAUUGCGUAAAACGUAUUACGAAUCAUAGAGUAAUAAUUAGCAAUUUAAAAUUUCAAAAGACGUAAAAAGUUACAAUAAUUAAUAAUUUAAAAUAUUCAAAAUUAAUAUUAAAAUUUGAUUAGCUUUUUUAAUUUUAUGUCACAUAAAUUAAAAUAAAAAAAUAACACAUAUUGAGCCCGUGCUAAUUUUAUGCCAAAUAAAUUGAAAUAAAAAAUAAAACAUAUUGAGCCCGUAUUAGCAGAGACUCCUGUAUCUAAUAUUAUAAGAAUAAAAAGAUACGAAAUUCCUGUGAUGUACUGUGGAUCCCAGUAUGUCAGUAGAGCUGUCAAUAUGGGCUGGCCCACCCCAUCCGGGCUAACCCAUACAGGCUUUGACAUUUUACGGGUCAGGCCGGGCUAGCCCAUUUUUGGUGUGGGCCAGAAAACGGUCGGCCCAGCCCACAAGUACGUGGGCUACAGGCUUGCCGGGCCAGCCCACUUUUUUAAAAUUAUAUUUUUUAUAAUUAUUAAAAUAAAGUAUAAAUUAUAAUUUAAAAAUAUUAUGAUAAAUAUAGACAAAACAAUAUUACAUGCAAAGCGAGGCCCGGUAUUUAAGUGGAGAAGGGUAGAGGGGCGGGCCCAUUAUCCACCGAGUUUAGAAGGCUGUGAUUGGUCCAAAGGGCGGGUCACAGACGGAUUUCUCGGUUAUNNNNNNNNNNNNNNNNNNNNNNNNNNNNNNNNNNNNNNNNNNNNNNNNNNNNNNNNNNNNNNNNNNNNNNNNNNNNNNNNNNNNNNNNNNNNNNNNNNNNNNNNNNNUGGCAAGGUUGUCUUAACAUCUUCAUUUUCAUCUUCAAUUUAUAUGCGGUUUCAAUUAGUUAAAUAUUAAAUAGAUUUUGAGUUUGGACUCUCUUUAAUUUUAAAUUUUAAUAUUAUAUUAUAUUUUUUAAUUAUUUUUAUUUGGCCCACGGGCCGGCCCUACCUAUAUUUCUCAAGCCCCACAAAUCAACAGGCUUAUUCAGGCCGGGCUAAAAAGCCCUUUUCUUAAAUGGGCUCCAAAAAUCUUAGCCCGACCCUAUUAAAUCCCGGGUUAGGCCAGGCCGGCCCAACGGGCCUAGCCCAUAUUGACGGCUCUAAGUAUGUGCAAGCAUGUGAAUAAGUUGACUAUAUAUUUGCAUUUCUUAUAAGCUAAUUAUAAAAGCAUCAUUAUAAUUAUCGAAAAAUUGGGUUUAUUAAUGUCAUCAAAUCGAUCUAGUCAUAAUUUAGUACCCUCUAUAAAAUUGGAUUUCUUUUUACCAUUAAUCUCCACGCAAUCCUUUUCCAAUCAAUCAAGAUUUGCUCGACUUUACGUCUGAUAAUUAUGAUUGGAGUUUAGAGGUGCAUGAUUAUUCUAAUUGGAGGGCUGUCUUGUGACAUAUAUAUAUAUAUGAUAUAGUUUUUCUGUUUUAAUUUGUCUGUCUAAUUUUGACUUGAUAAGAAAUUAAAGAAACUAAAAAGAACAUAUUUUUGAAUCUUAUCAUCUUAAAGUAAAGAUAUGUUGAAUAUAUCGAAAUGUUUUUUAAUCUUGUGAUUUUAAACGGUUCCUGUUGAAAAUAGAAGAGUUGCCAAAAAGGGAAAAAGAGAAUUUUUUAAUCGGACUAAAAUGAAAAGUAAGGCAAAUGUGUUAAAUUGUUUUAUUUUAUAAUUUAAUUUCAAUUGAUAUAUUUUUGGGAACACAAUUCAUAAUACAUGAUAAGUUUCAAUAUGUUGUGUUAUCUUUGCUUCUCUCCUUUACUGAGAGAAAUAAAAUUAACUAUUUCAUCUGUCAUAUUUUAUGUAACAUUAUUUGACUUUUAAGAUAUUAUUAGUUAUAAGUAACUAAUAAUAUAUUGAAAAUGUAGCUGGUAGAAACUUUUAUAUUUAUAGCAUUAAUAUAUCGAUGUUUCGUUGGAAGUUAUUAGUAAAGAGAGAUUAGUUCUUCUCCAAAAUUAAAAUAUAAAAAUUGAACUAAGCCAGGUGUCAAAUAAUAAAAUUUUUAGAUAAAUUCAAUAUAGAUGUAUAUCAAAGUUGAGGUGAAUAAUUAAUUCCAAUAAUUAAUUUUUAAUAAUAAGGCCCCUCAAGAUUUAGAAGGGACAUUAGAAAUUACCCCCACUCCCAAAAGCUAAAUGUCUUCCAAAUAUACAACAAAGUGAUGUGCUCUAAAAUAUUCAGUUCUAAUUUGGGAUAUGGUCGGUCCACAUGGUGCAAAUAUUUUAUAAAUAAAUUCCAUUCAUAUAAUAAAUUUAAAGCAUGACUUCUUUAUAUUUGUCUUCUUCUUGUUUACCUUUAAUUCGAUUGUCUUAUGUACACUCUACAAAUUGCAAGAAAUUAUUGACAAAAUUAGCCUCAAAUAUUCGUUUCAUCUCAACCAUUAAUUUUUUCUUUGUGUAAGAAAAGAUAGGUAGGUAUACAAUAUUAUUGUAUAUACAAACAAAUUAUUGUUGCGGAUGAUUUAAAGUGUCAAUAUAUAAAAUAAAGAGGUUCAAUCCAAUUCACUCAUCGAAGAGAAUUAAGUGAAAACCUAUAAAAGUGUUUCAUCCAACGUUUAUCAGUUCAUUAUUGAUGAAUUUAUGAAGAAAUGAAGAAUGAAGAAGGAAGAAGGUUAGAAGAAAUAGAAGAGAUAGAUUUUAUUGAUAAUCUUGUGUGUACAAAGGGAGAAAUAUCCUUAUAUAUAUUGUAAUCUAAGUAGAUAAGAUGAGUUGUACUUGUAACUAAAUAACUAAUUCAAAAAAACAAAUAACUAACUAAUGGAAACUUAACUUCUUAACUGACUACUUUGAGAUGUAGCAUCUAUGAACAAAUUGUGGUUAUAGCCAUAAUUUCAUAGAUAACAUAUCUUCAAUAUCAUCUGAUGAGGAGUGUUCAUGGUUCGGUUUGGAUCGAUUAUUAGUUAAAAUCAAAAUCAAAUCAACUUAAUUGGUUUUUAAAUUUCUAAAAUCAAACCAAAAAAAUAACCGUUGGUUUGGUUCGAUUUUUCGGUUUUUUUUUUUCCGGUUAGAAAGUAAUAUGUUUGUUGAGGACAUGUGCAUCUCGAUAGACACAAACACUUAGUACAUGAAUAACUCACGAAAAAACUAUUGCACGAACAAAGUGAUUCAUCCAAUGUACCAAGUUUCAGAAACUAAAAAACUUAUUGUCAAUAGCAUAAAGUUGAUUCAAUAUUCUGGAGAUCUCAACAUCUUAUCAAUAGACUUUUCAAUAAAAUUACACCUUAAAAUAUUGAGAAAUUACUUCUAAAAAAACAACCAAUAUUUCAUAAUCAAAACUAAUCAAUUACCAUAUUCUUUAGCUUGAGCUUUAAAUUAUUCAAUGCUACGUUAGAAAAUUUAUAAAGAACAGAGAAAGUGUGAUCCUUAAAGUAAUGAAUAUUGAGGGAUUUAGACUUAAGGUUUUAAUAGUUGGGCUAAAAUUUAAGUGUUAGGCUUCAGAAAAUAGUAAAAUUAAAGACUUAAGUUAAUUAAACUAUCAAAAUACAUAUAUUUUAUUUAUAAAUAAUUAUAAAAUUUGUACAUAUAACUUCUCGGUUUGGUUUGGUUAUUUUUUCGGUUAAAUUUUAGUAAAAUCAAAACCAAACCAAAUAGUAUCGGUGUUGACACCCAAUUUUGACCCUCCCCGAUAACGAUUAAUUUUCGAGCUUCUUAGAUUUCAAAUGAUUUAAAAUAUUACUUUUAUAAAAAUUUCAAAAAAAUGGGUUGCAAGUUAUUUCAAGUAGUUUUGUUACUUUUUUAUAACUUUUAAAUAAUAUAAUUAGUAUAUUUUAUGAAUAUUUGAAAACCGUCUAAAAAGAUUUUAGUUUUAGUCAAAAUUUUGUUAAUUAAUUUGGUUCAAGUAAUAAGUUUAUAUUUUUAAAUUAAUUAGUUUAUAAUUAAGUUAAUUAUUUUAUGUUGUUAAAAUUAAGAAGUUUGUUAACUAAUUAAUAUCAAUUCAUAUUAUUUAAUUACUAGCUGAAUCUAUCUUAAUUAAGUUCAAAACGGCUAGAUUUUGUAAUGCAAUUGUUUGGGCCUUAAUAUUUUGCAUUUCCAGCAGCCCAAAUUCAAUACUCACUAAACCCAAUACACAUACAUACCAGCAACCCAUUACAACUAUACAUCAACAAUACCAAAACAUACCCAGACGACCCAGCCCACUCAAUUCCACUCCAAUUCCCAGCCAACCCGAUCCAGCCCACCACUCCAAUUCUCAAAAGAACCCAGAACAACGUAGAAUUCCCAGAAAAACGACAACAACUCCAACGUUCACAACGCAACACACACAGCAGCAAACGAAAAGCAACGCCAAGAACACGACAUCUCCACAAAAUAUUCCAACAAUCAAUUCAACACAAUAGCGAGCAAACGAUUUCAUCUCACGACGAUAGACGAAAAAGCAGCGAGGAACGCAGAAAAUAGUACACUACAAAUUUUGUCUCCUUCCUCCCGUCCCUCUCAAUUCGCAGUCGCAGCAGUCCAAGCUUUCGUCCUUGUGACCUUGAGAUGGAGCCACCUUGUUUGCCAAGGACAUUGGAGUUGAUCUGAGGCGUUGAUUCGUCCUUUCCUCUUUCGGAAUUGGGCGAAAUAUUCAAACAAAGGGUGUUUCCCUUUAAUGGUGAAAGGGUUGGGAGUUUUGAAUUUUGAAUGGGCCUCCAUCCUAUCCGAAUUCUCACCUUUGCCCCCAGAUUUCGAACACUAGUUUCCCCUUAUAAAUUCCCCCUCUUCUUCAUUGUGUGGGGUUGGAGAAAAAUAUUGGAAAAAAGUUAGGGAAAAAAAGUUGGAGUUUUUUCUUGAGCAAUUGAUUUUACACCUGAGAAAUUCAGAAUACAUUCUAGUUUUUUUUUUGGUUCUGAAAGAGUCUUUAUUCGAAGUCGGUUCGGAUAUUCUGGUUUAUUGCUCAAGUUUUUCAAGAUUGUGUGAAAAGUCGUUGUUCUUUCGAGCUCACUACUGUCAAGUUUGCUGCCCCGAAAAGGAAAUAUUUCGUUUCUGAUUUUAGCUUCUUUCGUCGUGAGCUAAUAGUUGCAUAGUUUAUGGUGUGGUGUUGUAAUAUUUCUGAUCAACUGAUUUGAGGACUGUUUGUUGCUUGAUUGUUGCGAGUCAUUCGAAUGUUAGAAUUUUGAAAAUAUUCUGACUUAAUGUUGGCUGCAAAUCAGUAGUGUAAACUUGUUUGUCUCUUCAAAUGAUCUUUUGGUCUUGGUGAUUCCAUUUGGUGUCGAGUCAACUCCUAUCCGCUAAUGUCUUUUAUUUCUCUGUUAAUCUCAUUAUGUCGCCUGCGGUUCGUAGUUCAAUUUUGAGUUUUUGAUUCGACUUUAUUUGCUUCUCUUUUGCAUUUCAAUUCUUGCUUAAGGUUGAAUAGCAGCGUUGGGUUUAUGUUGUUGGUAGUUAUUUUAUAAAGCCGAACUUAUUGAAUUAUCAAGUUUCUUUUUAGUUGUCAGUGAGCCAUCUCGAAGAUUGUCAGUACUUGUUGCAAAAUCGAUUCAAUACUUUGGCGUAUCUCGAUGAUUAUCGUAUCAUCUCUUGCAAUCUAAUCUUUGAGUAGUCUUUUAUUCUUGAGUUCUUCAUAAUGAGUUCUUCAUAAUGCUGAUGUAGCUUGUUCAUAGCGAUUCUUAUUUAGUUUUGGAUGAAAUUUUGGCAAUAUGAUAUUGAAAUCGAAUCUAAAAACUAUUGCCUGACAUAUGCAUGAUUUGGAUCGAUAGUAUGUAACCUCCUUAGAUUUCAAGCUCGUUAACUUGUUGUAGUAUCUGUUUUUAUUAAGACCAGUCCAUGGGAAUUGAUGGCUUUAAUGCUCUCUGUUAACUUUCAUUUUUAUGUUUUUUUUUUUAAAAAAAAUAAUAUGCUUGGCAGUGCAUUUUUAUUCUUCCAUAAACUUAAUGUUCCUUCUAUUAUUACUUGUAUAUUUCGUAUAAGUAUAUGUUGUGUGCUAAUCUUGUUUUCCUUUCUUUUCUCACAUGGAAUUCGGAUCGAGUUCAUCUUGGACUCCAUCACUCCUCUCUUUGCAUUUUCCAAAUUGAGCCAUGGAGGCUCAAUUUUCUUAUAGAGUCAACCCUAUCAACAGAAUACUGAAAUACAGGUUCCGAAAGCAGAAUACAGGUCCUGAAAAGCUGAAAAUAGGUUGUGAUAUACUUGAUGUAUACACUGAUAUACAACCGUUAAUAUGAUUUACAGGUGGCAAAAAAAUACGAGAUUACAAGUCUGAUGAUAAAAUACAGGUUAAAAGCUCAUGUGCGUAAGUAAUGCAGAAAUACGGACCCAAAAUACGGUCCUUAUACGGGGGUAUACAUAAAACAUAUACGCGGAUUUUCUAAAGGCAAAUAGGCCUAAAAGCCUUAAGCCAUUUCCAGCAGGCCUAGAUGGCAGGAAAAUGGGACAAAGCCCAAUGAGACAAAUCAGAAAAAUUGAAGUGAGAAUAAACGGGCCAAACCCAUCAUUCUGGCAACUUUAGACUUAGGUCAGGUUCAAGAUUUGGGAAUUUGGGCCAAAGGCCCAAAUUUGAUAUUUCCUUCAUUUGCUCUUUAUUUGUUAUUGACUAACACUUUUGGUUUAACUUAAUUAAUUUCCCGAAGAUAGUCGUUUCUCAUUAUAUUCAAAGUUGAAAUAUUUUUUUUAUAUAUAUAUUUUUUUUAUUUCUCAGCUCUAGUUUAGCUUUAGUCUUGUCAAUACUUAAGUUACUUCCCUUUCGAAUGAUUCCCUUUAGUUUAUUUUUCCUCAAAAAUAAUUAAUUAGAAAAAAUAAUAGUAAUAAUUAAAUAAAUAAAAAUAUUAGUCAAGGUCAUUUUUAGUCAAAUCGGCGGUCAACCGCAAGUUAGCGGACAUUCCGAGGGCCUAACACCUUCUUGGAAUGUACAUUGAACUCGAACCCUUUUUGAAUUGAUUUUAUCUGUUUGAGUCUGUUGAAAACCUUAAGUUUUUCUUGAUUCUACUAAAAAAUUAAGUGGCGACUCUGUUUCUUUUGGAAAUUCGAUUUCUCUUAAAUCAUAAGUUUAAUCGAUUUUUCAAAACUUAGUCAUUUCUUUUAUUUAUAUUUUCGAUUAAAACAGAAAUGUCAACUCUUCUGGGGCCUUAAUUAAGUUCUAACCAUAAGAUUUGAUUUAUUGGAUUAAUUGUUAUUAAUUGUUGAAUUGUUUAUUUGUGCUUAAUGUGUUUAAACUGCUAUAACUGUCAUUGCAUUUCAUGGCAUAUUCUAUUGUAUGUAUAGUAUAUUAAGAACGGUUUCUAAAUAAUCGCAGCUGAACUUUUUAUACUCCCCCCUUUUCUAGAAUGAUCGGUAAUUUAUUGGUACGUCAUGCGUCCAAUGAUUGUCGUGAGUUCUAGCCUAAGUUGUCCGCUUCGGCUCCCGGUCUUUCAAAAGCCACUCUUAGUCAAUUAGCAUAGAGCGAAAUCCAAAUCCCAAAUUAGAGCAUUUUGAACUAAGUUUGACCCAACAUCCAAGGCAUGUUGGGACCAUUAGAAGCCCACAUUGUGUCUAUUUGGCCCAUUUGCCAAUAAAAAGACAAUCAUGUUUAUGUGUUUAAUUGAAGGAUGUAUAUGUCUUUUUAAAACAAAUCAAUUAUCUAUAGGGUGGGGGUACUUACCUUUGUCUGUUUUUUUUUCCUUGUAGGAUGAAUCCAACACAUGAGCCCUUGAGGACCCGAAUAAUGAUCAUACCCCAUCCUUACCUCCAAUUUUGGUGGAAAUUUAUGAACGUGGAAGAUAAGAAGAAAGUUCAAAAACACAUAGGUCAUCUCCCGUCAUUAAUGGAAUGGUAGCUUAUCCAGAUCUGAUCGGGACAAUGGUGAAAUUUUGGGACAACGAUAACAUGGUGUUCCGAUUCGGGGAAGUAGAGUUGACUCCGACUAUCGAUGAAGUUCUUGCAAGUUACGAGAGUGUCGGCAUGUGCAACAAGAGGAAACACCAACUCGAUACUAAUCUUCUUUUUCCAAAGGUAUGGGAUUUUGACGAAAUUAAAGAAAAACUUUCACUUGUCAAAGCUGAAUGGAUGGACAGGCUUCCCAGGUCAAAUAUUCCACUUCGGAAGUUGUAUUAUCGAUUUGGACGCGCAAGAGCUUAUGAGAAGUUCAAAGAAGAGUUUGUCUCGGAAGAAAAAAAUAGAAGGAAACACGCCCCCUCGCUUUUGCGAUAUGCUUACUUGGGACAAUGGUGUUUCCCCAAGGACCGAACUACACCAUCCAUCCAAGUGUAGUAAUGGUCACUCAUGCUAUUUUUAAUAGAGUAGGCUACGGGUUUGCAAGAAAAUACUACAAUUUGGCUCCCAUGAUCCUUGUUGACAUUUACAGAGCAUUGGAUAGAUGUAAAAACGGCACACGUUUCUUUCAAGGGUGCAACCUAAUACUUCAAUGAUGGAUGAUGAGACACUUGAUCAAAGCUCAUAAUCCGAAAGAACCAGAUCCCUUAGAAAGACCGAACAGACGCGAAAGUCACGGUUGAUGGGUGCAACGUAAUCAUUUCAACAGGACUGGAGGCCAAGAAUUUUGGUACCUGAGACUUCAGGGUUUGAGAGAGGAAAAUGUGCAGUGGGCGAUCCAAUGCUUGGUAGUAACAAAACAAAUGGUGAUCUGAAGCGGAAAGGCCCCCUACGAUAUUUGUUGGGUUAAGAGGAACUCGGCCAUAUGCUCUUUCUCGAGUGCUUAGAGAACUAGGAGGGAAACAUGAGCUUCCUCAAAUUGAAGACAUGACAAGAUUUGUGACGGAUCAUGAAAAUGGCGAAAUCAUUUUUACUAAAAAGAUGCUUCAAUUAUGGAAAACUCGAAGGGUAUUGGGUGAGCCGAUACCAAAUAGGUUUUGUCCUGAAUGUUCAAAGGAUUACAAGGAAUGGUUAAAGAAGAGCCUCGUCGGAACUAUCGAACCUGGUCCAAACCUUCCCCAUAUUAUUGCAGAUAUUGGAGCCAAACAUCAAAUUUGACUUUAUCGACUCCAAGAGAAGUUUGAUAGGAAUGAGUUAGAGCAUCAACGUCGGCAUUCAAAAGACGCUGAAGUCAUAGCUCAGUUAAAGCAAGAGCUACAAAGAGCCAGGCAAUACAUGUCUGAAUUGGAUGAUAGCAUGGAACAACAUAUUUAGUCGGUAGAGAUGUUCAGACAUCAAGAAGGGGUUCGGUUGGCUAGAGAUCACCUAUGGGCGAACAUAUAUGCUAUGUGGGAAGAGGUCAACAUCGCCAAAAGGACCAGACUUGGUGAAGGAUCAGGACGGGCCUGAAGUUUGUUAUCAUCCCCCAUGUGGGAUUGUUUUAUUUGUACUUUGUUUGUAAUUUACUUUCUGAACUCUUUUCCCUGAUUUUAUGCUUGUCAAACAUUUUUGAAUGAUAUUAAUGAAAUAUUUUGGGGAUAAUGAAUUGCUUGAAAAGACAUAUACAUCCUUCAAUUCGCUAGGCCUACCCUUGGCACAAAAUGGUCACACAGAUGUUUAGGACGCAAUAUUUUUAUGUUUAUUUGGGUGCUUUAACUGUUUAUGUGGUAUGUUGCUUUGAAUGAGGACAUUUUUAGCCCACUCUUUGUCAAAAUUUUCUGAAAAAUCUCUAAAAUGCCAAAUACAAGUCACUACCAAAAUGUCCGACCAAAUUCCAUGAGUCUUGAGUUUCUCAACCAGAAAUAAAAUCCUACUACCAAAUCCUAAAACAUUACUCUAUCAUCUCAGGAAAGGUAAAAUUGCUGCUAAGAUGGAAAAAGGCAAGAAUGUCAAGGUGAAGACGACUUAAGAGAAUUUAAGGAUGAAACUGUAUCGAUUCAAACAAGAGAUUCAAGAAAUGGGAGAAAGAAGAAUAGAAAUAGAACUAGCCACCACAGUUGCGCAAGCCAAAAGUGCAGCACUAGACGCGGAGUUGGCAGCUAAGAUGACAAGAUAUGCUAUCAUGAACGAAGAGACGGCUGCUAUGCGGAAGGAAUACGAUGUCUUCAACAAUGAUAUAACCAUGAGACUUCAAAAGCUACGUGGAAAGUACUCUUUCUUCAAUCAAGAGGCCAAUGUCAGUGGUCCCGAAGGCACUGCACCUGAAGUUGUUGGAAAAGAACCAGAAGAAGAAAUCGUCUACAGGCCUCCUAUCCAGGGACGUUGGAAAGAAGGGAAUGAGAAAAUCACCCUCGAGGCAUACCUGCAAAAGUUGUUCCAUGUGCUCUCAUUUACGAGCGUCUUCAGAUUGAACACAUCCUGAAACCCCUCAAGGGAACCACUUCCGAGGGUGAAUCGGAGGACGUACAUAAGACAUGUGCAUACCAUCCGGACCGAAAGGAGCAUACAACAGAAAAAUGUGUGGAGCUUAAGGCCAAGAUCCGCAACUUAAUCUGGAUUGGGAAAAUCCCCCAUAUGUGGGGUGACAACACUCUCCUUACCUAUGACCAACCGGAGCCUAGUGUACAUGUAACGUCGUGCAAUUUGAAAUCACUAUGAAGAAGUUUAUAAUUGGAAUUAGUCAUUUUUUUUAAGAAGUCAGAAUCUGGAAAUUUAGUUAAGUAUGGGAAAAAAUGAGUUUUUUGUCAACUUAAAACAGUCAUAACUCCUAGCUCAGAAUGUGUUAGGCGAAUUUCCAGUUAUGUCUGGAAAUCUUUUGGAAUGAUAUUUCCAACGCCUCCGAGUUUGCUCGAUUCCGAGUUCGUAUGAGUGAGUUAUGCCCUUUGGAAGUUGGGCUGUUGGCACAGCCGCACAGGGCAGUUUAGUCCGAAUUUUAAGGGCAUUUUGGUCUUUUCCCUAAUCAAUUCUUUUGGUUAUAUUAAAGUGUUGGACUGAUUUUUAGAACAGUUUGUCCCAUUUUAAAAGAGUGAGAGUGAGGGUUUNNNNNNNNNNNNNNNNNNNNNNNNNNNNNNNNNNNNNNNNNNNNNNNNNNNNNNNNNNNNNNNNNNNNNNNNNNNNNNNNNNNNNNNNNNNNNNNNNNNNNNNNNNNNNNNNNNNNNNNNNNNNNNNNNNNNNNNNNNNNNNNNNNNNNNNNNNNNNNNNNNNNNNNNNNNNNNNNNNNNNNNNNNNNNNNNNNNNNNNNNNNNNNNNNNNNNNNNNNNNNNNNNNNNNACAUGUUUCCGGUUGUGAUUUUGAGUUGAAUCUAUUGCAUAUUAAGGGUCUUUAUGAUUCUAAGUGUUUGUUGCUGGAACCUUUGAGGUUGAGAGGGUUUAAAGUUGGAAAGAAACAAGGGGGAAAAGUUGGAUUUUUGGGGGAAAAGGGCUGGGGUGUCGCGCCAGCCAGCGCACCCCAAAAAGGGACGCUGAACUUUCCCCUUGGGGCAGAGCGUCUGGCAGAACGCCCAGCAGGCCCCUCUGAAGUUUGAGGGCUGGCUCCCCGAGCCUCUUAGAGCGCCAAGGACGCCAAUCCUUCCCUUUACCUUUCAUUUCCCACUUUUUCAUACAUGUUCCUUGGUAAAGUACCUUUGUUUUAUUAGUUGUUUCCUAAUUACUUUUAAGGUACUAUCUUAACAUCCCAAACUCAUCCAUAAACGUGUGAUCAUACACCUUGAAUUCAUAAUCCAAUUCGAGGAAAGUUAGGAUCCAAGUCAAGCAAAGUUAAGAAGUAAGUCCAAGUGAGUGUUUAAAGCCUUUCAAGAGUCUUUAUUGAACGUUUUAACUUUAUUUUAAGACUCAAGUUUCAAGUCAAGUAAAGGGUAUAGACUGUCAAGCUAAGUAAAGAGUCUUAAGUUUCAAGUCAAGUAAAGAGUAUCGAGUUUUAAGUUAAGUCGAGCAUAAAGUUGAGUCAAUUUCUCAAAAGCUAUUAGGGAACUAAGUAUUCCCAAAGAAGUUUGUAAAUAUUUUUGUUACAUUUGAGUAAGAGGGGAACCAUGUUUUCCAAAAGAGCAUUUAGGCUAAGUUUUGAGUAAUCAUCUCAAUUAAAGAAAGAUGUGUUUAAAGACACUUAUGAGCCAAAGUAUUUUUGGGAGUAGUAUUGAGCACCGAAUUGGGGACACGAGUUCAUAUUAACUCAACUCUCCAUUAAGAACCAUGCGCCAACAUGGGACUUGACGUAUCAUUCUUUUUAGAAGAUCACGUAAGAUUAAGUUAGUGGAUCCAUUAAGCAAAAGUAAGGUCCUAAUCACGGCAAGGUAUAGGAUGUCCUUGGGCAACAUGAGGUAAAACGUUGUAUCAUCACUAGGGUUCAAAGUGGUGGUUGUCGGUUAAAGAAUCUCCCACAAAAGUUAUAUUACUUUUAUAUAAGUGAAGUUGAGUUUGUUAUCGUUUUAUCCUUAACGAACUAAGUUAUUUACAUUGUUUUACAAGCUUUAUAUGUAUUGGAUGUGUCUUAUUGCUUUACAUUGAGUUCGGUUAUUCAUGAGUCGUUCAAAGUCAAGGUAAGUGUUCUCUUGUACUCCUUUCAAGCUUAAGUUGUGGUUUAGCUUUCCAGCUCGCAUACUCGUACAUUCAAUGUACUGAUGCCAGUUGGCCUGCACGUCUUAUGAUGCAGACGCAGGUACCCAGNNNNNNNNNNNNNNNNNNNNNNNNNNNNNNNNNNNNNNNNNNNNNNNNNNNNNNNNNNNNNNNNNNNNNNNNNNNNNNNNNNNNNNNNNNNNNNNNNNNNNNNNNNNNNNNNNNNNNNNNNNNNNNNNNNNNNNNNNNNNNNNNNNNNNNNNNNNNNNNNNNNNNNNNNNNNNNNNNNNNNNNNNNNNNNNNNNNNNNNNNNNNNNNNNNNNNNNNNNNNNNNNNNNNNNNNNNNNNNNNNNNNNNNNNNNNNNNNNNNNNNNNNNGACUCGAGUUGCCUUUUUGGCCAGAUUUUAUCAGUUAAGUUGUUUUAUGUCUUUGCAUGGCAUUAAGUUAUUCUGUUGAGUUAAGUUUCCCCUGAGUUAAGAAAGCCAGGCCAAGGGUUCGCUUGGGGCCAGCAAUGGUCUCCGAGUGCCGGUCCCGCCCAGGGUGUAGGCUCGGGGCGUGACAGUACCAGUCACAGAACAUACUGUGUUUUACUGUCACUUCUUCACGCAUUUUAAGAGAUCGCUGUUGGAUAUCAAUUGUGAGUUGGUUCGAAAGGGGGUCUUGACUCCUAUCAAAAUGGAUGAUGAAACAUUUGAUCCCGUUGGGAUUGAAAUUUGGAAACUAUACCCUUAUCACGACGCCAUAGAUCACAGCAUUGGAAUGUGCCUCGGGUUCCGCUAUGAUCUGGAGUCCCUAAUCAACAAGGGAAAGAUCCAAGUUGAGUUUCUCCCCUAAUCGGCCAUACAGUAGCCAGAGUACUUUGACGAGUCAGAAGAAGAAGCCUUUCUGAAGGCACAAUCUUUGUUUUAAGAGCAUUAUCGCAUGUUUUUUUUUACACUUUCCUUGUAAUCAAUCAAAUGAAUGAAUGAAAAUGAGAAUUUCCUUUUGUAUUCGAACUACGUAGGGACUGAAUUCUCCUUGAGAGAUACGUAGGCAGUCUUUCAAGGCCCGACCCCUAUCUUUUUAAAAUUUUCUUUUCCCCCUUUCAUUCUACAAGGAAACAUUGAAUUCGCAUCAACAGAUGCCAAGAGAUGCAGCAAUAAGACCUUAGCUCAACACAAUUUAACCUUUCUGAGUCACUAGCCUCAAAAUAAAACGAGUAAAUUCCCGCUUGUUCAAACAAUCAGUCCCCAUUACUCGUGGGUUAACAUGUCCUCAAACAAAGCAACUUUUAUGUGUUUACAUGCUUUUUAUUUGCUAUUUUGCAUUAUUUGUCCUGAAACAAAACUAACAGAUUUGCCUUUGGGUUGUUUUCUUCUACAGGUACUUAGAACUGGUUUGUGUCGGUAAGCUUGCUGAUAAUCAUCCCUACUUCACAACAUCUAAGGCUCUUAAAGAUUCCUCCCCCGGUCAAAACUCACAGAAGGAAAAAGCAAUAAUGAGUAAAAACAAUGAAGAGAUUGGCCUUACCUAUGUUGUCGUGGCUUAGCCCGUCAUUGCUGAUCAGAACGAACUAAUUAUGCAGUUGAUGCAACAGAUCACUGAGAUGAGGGUCGAAAUGCAGAAGGAAAGACUCGCCUAAUCUGGGUUUUACUUUCAAUGCUCCAGCAGACGGAAGGCCUCCACUUCACUUUCCUCCUUCAAACAUGGAACAAGUUCAAAACCCACCCUCCAGUCCUGCUCAUAAUCCCUCAAUCAUCGACCUAACCAACCAAAAUCUCCAUCAUGCCUCCUUCUCUUAUCAGACACCACCCCAUCCUCAAAAUACCAACCUCCAAGAGCCACUUCCUCCCCAUAAUGCCAACCACCAAACUGGUCCACCCCCUCAAAACCAAAACGUUAACAACCCGCAAACUUCCCUCCUUCACCAAAAUCAGUAUACCACCCCCCAAACUUUCCCCCAAAACUAUCAAGCCCAUCAAAAUGCCAAGAGUCCCUCCAUUGCCCCACCCCUACCUCAAAAAGCCACCUUCCAAAUCCCAGUCCCCAAUGAGCCUUACACCAAUUGUUCUGAGCUCGACCACUAUGAGGAAUGGGAGAGAGAGUGGAGGUCAAAGGAAGAGGUCACCAAGCUAGAUUUGAAGGAAGAGAUCUGAAAGGCCAUGAAAGAGUUGCACUGCAUUCUUGAAGUCGCUGGGUUGAGUUAUGAUGAUAUAUGCAUUCAUCCGAAUUUGGACCUCCCGGAAGGGUUCAAGGUGCCAAAAUUUGACGUUUUUGGAGGAAGAGGGAACCCCUUAGCGCACCUGAGGGCCUACUGUGACCAGCUCGUGGGAGUUGGGAGAGAUGAAGCUUUGUUAAUGCGGUUUUUAGCCGAAGUCUGAGUGGAGAGGCUCUGGAAUGGUUUACAUCUCAUGAAACAAAACAGUGGCCAGUUGGAAUGCUCUGGCUAAGGACUUUAUCGGACGAUUCGCCUACAAUGUGGAGAUCGUUCCUGAUCGUUAUUCCUUAGAAAAAAUGAAGCAGAAAUCAAAUGAAAAUUACUGAGAAUUUGCAUACAGAUGGAGAAAGGAGGCAACUAGAGUUCAGCCUCAUAUGUCUGAGAAAGAAAUUGUCAAAGUAUUUGUGCGGGUUCAAGAGCCCGAAUAUUAUGAUAGAAUUAUGUUGCUCGUUGGAGCAAAGUUUGCUGAGAUAGUCAAAGUAGGUGAGACUAUUGAAAACGGAUUAAGAACCGGGAAGAUUGCCCGUGUUGCUGCCUCGCCCGGAUCCUCGGGUUUGUUGAAGAAGAAAAGAGAAGAUGUGUCUUCUAUCUCUUAUGAUGGGAAGAAGACCCCAAGGAAAUCCUUAUCAUACCAAUGUCAUUCUCGAGCUUCACAGAGUUCGUACCCGGCUUGUUAUGCACAGGCUGAUUACCAAAAUACCCCUCCCCCCAGUUACCAAAAUACCCAUCCCCCCAGUUAUCAAAAUACUCCCCAUCUAGUUUACCAGACUCCACCUCAUCACUACCGGAAAGUCGCCCCCAACUGCGCCAACGUUGAGGCAAAUUACCAAACGCCUCUCCCAAUGUACCAAACCCCAGCUCCACUUUACCAAAAUACCCCCUCGAACUACCAAGCUCCACAACCAAAUUACCAAACCAAUUCAUAUCCAAGAUAUAAAAUCCCCCGUCCAAAUGCCCCAAAUUAUCGUCAAAUGCCUCCUCCUCAACAAGGCAAUUACGAUCCCCCCCCCUCCCGUCCAAGAUUUGAGAAGAAGCCCGCUAGAAUUUUCACUCCGCUCAUUGAAAGUCGAACAAAGUUGUUUGAGCGAUUAAAUGCGGCAGGAUAUAUUCAUCCAGUGGGGCCCAAACUAGUUGACACUAGCUCAAGGUUUUACAAACCUGAUCAGAGGUCCGCAUAUCACUCCAACGGUGUUGGACAUGAUAUCGAAGACUGUAUCAACCUGAAGCAUAAGAUCCAAGACCUGAUUGACCAUAACGUGGUCUCUCUUCAGACAGUCGCACCCAAUGUCAAUAGUAAUCCUUUGCCAAAUCAUGGAGGCAUCACAAUCAAUAUGAUAGAGACCUAUGAUGAUUGGUGCGUGACAAAGGCAAUAGUUACGAUCUCUUCUGAUGAACUGGAAAGGGUUGUAGCCUCGUUGAGCAUUAGAGAGAAGAAAUAGUUUGUGAUUUUGAAACGGCUUGGUGCCAAGAGAAACUUUUGCCCGACCAAAGUUUGUGAUUGAAACGGCUACCACUCAAGGCAUGACCAGAUCCGGUAGAUGUUACACAUUGGAAGAGUUGGCUCAAGGAGGGUAGAAAAAGGACCAAACAAAAAGGCCGAUCAGUGAAGCCUAGGUCGAGGAGUUCUGGAGAAAAAUGCAGCUAAAAGAUUAUUCGAUUGUGAAACAUUUCGAGAAGACGUCGGCUCAGAUUUCUGUAUGGGCCUUGUUGAUGAGUUUGCAAAUGCAUAGGCAGGCUUUGAUGAGAGCUUUGGAUGAUACUUAUGUGCAUGUGGGUACUAACAGUGACAGCCUAGCAGCCAUGAUAAACCAGGUCAUUAGAGGACACCGAAUCAGUUUUUCUGACGAAGAGCUGCCCUUUGAAGGCAGGAUGCACAACAAAGCUCUGCACGUCACCAUCAAAUGCUGGGAUAAAAUUAUAAAUCGUUAUUUGGUCGACGAUGGGUCCGGUCUCAAUAUUUUCCCACUUUCGACUCUCAAGCAGCUGAAAUUUGAUCUGGGAAAGGUUCAACAAAACUAGGUCAAUGUGAGCUUUCGUUGGAGUGCAGAGAGACACGGUAGGGGCAGUAAGCUUGGAAAUUCAAAUGGGUCUUGCAGAGUUUAAUGUGGAGUUCCAGGUGUUGGAUAUCAACACUAGUUGCAACCUACUUCUGGGAAGACCGUUUAUCCAUUUGGCCGGAGUUGUGCCGUCUACCCUUUACUAACUGAUAAAAUUUAUUUGGAAGGACCAAGAAUUGGCCAUUCAUUGUGAGGGGAGUCAUUUCGAUGGGUAUGCGCCAAUCGUUGAUGAGGUUUCCCGAGGUUACGAUUUUUACACGAUGGAGCUGGUAAAUGCCACCAGUGAUGACUUGGCUCCACAGCCUCCUAUGCCUUCUGUGUACAAGAUGAUUGCUACUGUCAUGCUCUAGAAUGGUUUCGAACCAAGUCUCGGAUUGGGGAAGCAUGGUCAAGGAAUGACCAAGCCCAUUCAAGUUCCUACCAAAGGGGCAAAGUUUGGUUUGGGGUAUGUCCCCACAGAUACUGAUGAACAAGAGUGCUGAUCAGAUGCUUGCCAGACCAAUGUCUCACUUGUACCAGUCAUUCCCGGUGCGGGAGCAUGCCAUCGACAACGGUCUGUGGGAAGGAAUAUGGGGCAUGUUUAAAGAAGUUGACUCAGUCAUGGAGGAUAAAGUUGGGACCUCAGGAAUCCGCAAUGCCGAGCCAGAUGAGCAGUCGCAGAAUUGGACCUCCAUGUCGCCCCUGAUUCCCCGUGCAGCUUGGUAGAAAAGACAUGUGUUUAUGUUUGUUUUUAAAAUCGGCGGUAGUCAAGAAGAUGCCCGAGACCCACCAUUUAUGCAGUUUUUACUUGUUUGACUUUUUUAAUUCCCCUGUGAUGUUUAAAAAGACGAAAUGGCCCUGAGCCAUGGCCAAAGUUUGUGCUUGUUUUUCAAUAUAAAUGUAAGCCUCUUUUAUCGAAAAUUUGUUUACUUAUCUGGUUAUAUUUUACUUUCCUAACUUUAUUUGUUUAUAAUUUCAGUAAUAUUAGUUUAAAACCUGUCAAUGUCAUGUCAUGUCAUGAAUCGAGUGAACGAAAUGAGACAGGUGAUGACGAAUGCGAGGAAUACGAAGAGGAAAAUGAGGUACCCGAACAUGUUGCUGAAGAGUUUUGACAAUUUGAGAAUCAACACUAGCCGAAUUUAGAGGAAACCGAAACUGUGAAUCUCGGAGAUGAGGAAUGUGCUAAAGAAGUAAGAAUCAGCGUCCAUCUGUCUGAAGCUCAAAGAAGGGACCUGGUUCGUUUGCUUAGAGAAUACAUUGAUGUAUUUGCCUGGUCUUACAGAGAUAUGCCAGGGCUGAGUACGAAUAUAGUGUCCUACAAGUUGCCGAUUAAUCCAGAAUUCAAUCCAAUAAAACUAAAGACGCGAAAGUUCAAGCAUGAGUUGAGUUUAAAGAUCAAAGAGGAUAUUACCAAACAAAUCGAGUCUCAAGUAGUGGAAGUGAUGCAGUAUCCGACUUGGUUAGCUAGUGUUGUUCCAGUUGCCAAGAAAGAUGGGAAGAUCAGAAUUUGUGUCGAUUACAGAGAUCUCAACAAAGCUAGCCCGAAAGACAACUUUCCAUUGCCAAACAUUCACAUUCUCAUUGAUAAUUGUGCCAAGCAUGAGAUCCAGUCGUUUGUGGAUUGUUAUGCGGGCUAUCAUCAGAUCCUGAUGGAUGAAGAAGAUGCAAAAAAAAUAACUUUCAUUACGCCUUGGGGCGUAUAUCACUAUCGGGUGAUGCCUUUUGGUCUCAAGAAUGUCGGUGCUACUUAUAUGAGGGCUAUGACAACCAUUUUUCAUGAUAUGAUUCAUAAGGAGAUUGAGGUAUAUGUAGAUGAUGUCGUAAUCAAGUCCCGCGAGAGUUUGGAUCACUUGACUCACUUAAGGAAAUUCAUUGAUCGCCUGUAUCGAUACAAUUUGAAGUUAAAUCCCGCCAAAUGUGUUUUUGGAGUGCCAGCUAGCAAGCUGUUAGGAUUUAUAGUCAGCAGAAGGGGCAUUGAGCUUGACCCUUCCAAGAUCAAGGCGAUCCAAGAAUUACCUCCUCCGAAGACCAAGAAGAAGGUGAUGAGUUUUCUAGGAAGGUUGAACCACAUCAGCCGAUUCAUAGCCCAAUCCACUAUGGUGUGUGAGCCCCUCUUCAAGUUAUUGGAAAAAAAAAUCCCCUGACCAAAUGGACCGGAGAAUGUCAAACUGCCUUUGAUGCCAUCAAAAACUAUUUGUCCAAUCCACCGGUGUUGGUUCCUCCACGGGAAGGAAGUCCACUGUUACUGUAUUUAUCUGUUUCGUAUAACGCAUUAGGAUGCGUGCUUGGUCAACAUGAUGAAACUGGGAAGAAGGGGCAAGCCAUCUAUUACCUGAGCAAGAAAUUCACUCCAUAUGAGGCUCGUUACACUCUUUUAGAGAGGACAUGUUGUGCUUUGACUUGGAUUGCUCAGAAGUUGAGACAUUAUUUGUCUUCUUAUACCACAUACCUUAUUUUCAGAAUGGAUCCAUUGAAGUAUAUUUUUUCCAGAAAGCAAUGCCGACCGGGAAGUUGGCUAAAUGGCAAAUGCUUUUGAGUGAGUUUGACAUUGUGUAUGUGAAACAAAAGGCGAUAAAAGCACAGGCCUUGGAUGAUUAUCUCGCGGAGAAUCCAAUUGAUGAAGAGUAUGAACCGCUCAAGACUAUUUUCCCGAUGAAGAAGUUGCAUUUGUGGGUGAAGAUAUUUCUGAAGCAUACACUGGUUGGAGAGUAUUCUUUGAUGGAACGGCAAACCACCAAGGGAAAGGUAUCGAAGCGGUCUUAGUAUCAGAAUUCGGUCAACACUAUAAUAUGGCAGCUAAACUCCGAUUUAAUUGGACGAACAACAUGGCAGAAUACGAAGCUUGUAGCCUCGGUUUGAAGAUGGCCAUCGACAUGAAUGUUCAUGAGCUUCUGGUUAUUGGAGAUUCAGAUUUGUUGAUUCAUCAUGUUCAAGGAGAAUGGGCUGUGAAGAACCCAAAGAUCACGCCGUACGUGUAGUAUAUAUAGAAGUUGUGUAAGAGAUUUUUCAAGAUUGAAUUUAGACACUCUCCUAGGACACAAAAUGAGUUAGCUGAUGCUCUUGCCACCAUCACAUCGAUUAUUAAACAUCCAGAUACAAGUUAUAUUGAUCCCUUGGAUAUAGAGGUAAAAUUGCAACCGGUCCAUUUUUCACAUGUUGAAGCAGAACCAGAUGAUUUGCCUUGGUAUUUUGACAUAAAGAGAUAUUUGGAGAUUGGGACUUAUCCUGAGAAUGCAACGUUCAAACAGAAGAAAUCAAUUCGCCAUAUGGCUAACAAUUUCUUUCCAAGUGGGGAAAUCCUUUAUAGGAGGACUCCAGAUUUAGGUCUUCUCAGAUGUGUUGAUGCUAGUGAAGCUGCAAAGCUUCUGGAACAAAUAUAUGUCGGAGUUUGUGGUACUCACAUCAAUGGCCUCACUUUGGCUAGGAUGGUCCUUCGAGCCGGUUAUUUUUGGAUGACUGUUGCAAGUUUAUGCAGAAAUGUCAUAAAUGUCAAGUGCAUGAUAAUUUGAUCCGAGUGCCACAUCACGAACUCAAUGCUAUGAGUUCACCUUGGCCAUUUGUAGUUUGGGGAAUGGUUGUCAUUGGCCCAAUAGAGCAAACCGCCUCUAACGGACACAUAUUCAUUUUGGUUGCUAUUGACUAUUUCAUCAAGUGGGUGGAAGCAGCUUCGUAUAAGUCGGUAACCAAGAAAGUUGUAGCCGAUUUUGUUCGCAACAAUUUGAUAUAUAGAUUUGGAGUACCGGAAUCUAUCAUUACUGAUAAUGGAGCGAAUCUCAACAGUCAUUUGAUGAGAGAGAUAUGUGAACAAUUCAAGAUUACUCACCAAAACUCAACUACUUAUCAUCCCCAGAUGAAUGGGGCUGUAGAAGUUUCCAACAAGAACAUCAAGAAGAUUCUGAGAAGAAUGAUUGAAAAUCACAGAGGUUGGCAUGAGAUGUUGCCAUAUGCUUUAUUGGGUUACAGAACGACCGUCAGAACUUCAAUCGGAGCUACUCCAUACUUGUUAAUAUAUAGAACAGAAGUAGUUAUACCUGUCGAAGUUGAAAUACCUUCAUUGAGAAUCAUCCAGGAAGCUGAGUUGAAUGAUGCCGAAUGGGUUCGCAAGCAGAUUGACCAGCUAAGAUUGAUUGAUGAGAAGAGAAUGGUUGCUGUUUGUCAUGGUCAACUUUAUCGACAGAGAAUGAUUCGUGCUUUCCACGAGAGAGUAAGAGCUAGAAUGUUCGAAAUUGGCCAGUUGGUUCUCAAACGCAUUUCCCUUAUCAGGAUGAAUAUAAAGGAAAAUUUGCACCAAAUUGGCAAGGACCCUACAUAGUUCGCAAAGUGUUAUCUGGAGGUGUCUUGGUCCUGUCGGAGAUGGAUGGCAUCGAAUGGCCGAAACUGAUCAACUUAGAUGUUGUCAAGAGAUAUUAUGUGUGAAGUUUUAGUUUGUAUUUCUAUCAUUUCCUUGUGAUCAUUCUAUUUGCUUGUAAUCGCUUUGUUUGAAAUUUUAUCCCUCUUGUAAUGAACUAUGUCUGACCUGAAUUUUCAAGAAUGAGAUACGUAGGCAGCCCAUGUCGGCCUUGGUCGCCCCAUUUAUCCUUUUUAAUUUACUUCUUUUUUAUUUGAACUACGUUCGACCUGAAUUCUCAAGAAUGAUAUACGUAGGCGGUCUAUGUUGGCCUCAGUCAGUUUCUUUGUAAAUUUCCUAUUUCUGUUAAUUCUCGAGAAGGGGAACUACGUUUGACCUGAUUCCUAUCUCAACGGGAUACGUAGGCGCCACAACGGUUCGGGAAUAUCUCCCGAAAGAUUUCUAUUUUUUCCUUACAAUAGAAAUCGGACAGAAUUUUUGAGAGGGACUCAAAAAUUCUCAAGAAGAAGAUCUUUUCAACAAACCAAGACUGAAGUUACGUUGAAAAUUGCAACUGGGACAGAAUAUUUGAGAGGAUCUCAACAAUUCCAUGGUUUGUUCAUCAACAGUUCAGUAUGCGCCAAGACAGUUAAUUGGGACAGAAAUUUUUGAGGACGACCUCAAAAAUUUCAAUAAGGUUCAUCGGGAGUUUAGAACAACUUUGAAUACUUCUCGGCAAAUAAUCAGACCUCGAGGCAUCAACCUCAAAGACGUUCACUAAGCUUGAUGUGACAUGACACUUGGCAGUGACCUUUCCUAAAUACUGCUUUUGAAAAUCUAUUUUCCUUAAAACUUUCCCUUCGUGUUUCAAUUAUUUUUUGCAUAAUUUUCUUUUGUCUUAUCUAUCAAGAGGCGGGAGAUCAAAAAAAUCAAUUGGAGAUAGUCAGACAAAGAGCAGACAACCGAAGAGAUCGACACAGAGCGGUUCAUUUUUUAAACUAACAAUUUUUUUGUGGAUGCAGGUCUAUAAGUUUGCCUCAAGAUCAGCAUAUUCCUCCAUUCGAUGAAUAUGGAGAACUCAAAAGGGCGAAGAGUUCCCCAAAAUUGACAACUUUUCUGUGGAUGCAAGAAAUAUUUUAUGUUUCUUAUACCAAAGAAUUGGGAAUAUGAGUAGCAUUAUUUCAUUCAAAUUCUUAGCAAAGCGAGGUUCGUCAUGAAUAUUGCAACUAUAUUCGGAGAUGGAACAAACGAAAACCACGAAGAGAGCAAUAUUAUUAUUUUUUAGCAACUAAAGAUACCUGGAAGACGUUUAUCUACAUUAUAUUAUCAGAUAUGGUAAUAUUUCUUACCCUGAAGGUUAUUUAUAUUGUAUUGUCCAAUGAGAUGAUACCACUAUCCAGAGAGUCAUUUAUGUCGUAUUGUCGAAUGAGAUGAUAGCACUACCUGGAGAGUCAUUUAUAUCGUAUUGUCGAAUGAGAUGAUACCAUUACUCCAACGGUCAUUUUUAUUGUAUUGUCAAUUGAGACGAUACCGCCACCCAGAAGAUCACCUGUGUUGUCUGGUGAAACAUUAUCUUCGUUCGGUACCGGGGGUGGCAUCAUCAGAAAGAAGUCAUGCAUUGCAAGGGAAGGAAAUCAUGCAUAAUAAGAGAAAAAUUAAUGCAUAGCAAGAGGAAGAAGUCAUGCAUAGCAACAAAAAGUCAUGCAUAGCAAGAGAAAGGAGUCAUGCAUCGCAAAAGGAAGAUUUGUGCAUAGCAAGAGGACGAAUUCAUGCAUAGCAAGAAAAAGUCAUGCACCGCAAGAGAAAGAAGUCAUACAUUGCAAGAGAAAAGAGUCACGCAUCGCAAGAUAAAGAGUCAUGCAUCGGAAGAGGAAGAUUCAUGCAUAGCAAGAGGAAAAAGUCAUGCAUAGCAAGAGAAAGUCAUGCACCACGAGAGAAAGGAGUCAUACAUCGCAAGAGAAAAGAGUCACGCAUCGCAAGAGAAAAGAGUCAUGCAUUGCAAGAGAAAGGAGUCAUACGUCAAGAGAAAAGACUCGUGAUCGCUAGAGAAAGAGUAACCCAUCACAAGAAGAUCAACAUCGACUGCAUCAUUUUCUCUGCAAAAACAGUAUCAACAGAACCAUCAACAACGACGUCAAGAGAAACUAUCAACAUAUUACAUCAGCCUAAUUUUUAUUACUUCGACAUCAAAGAAAGAGUACAUUGAAGAUUAUAUUGCAAAUAUAAUAUACAAGCUUUAUUUGCUUUACGUCAAAUUGGAGGAAGUUGACGUCAAACAUCCAAGGAGAACAAUUGAGUGACGGUAAAAGACACUAUCUCCCUAUUUGAAUUGCAUGUUAUGCUAAUGAGUUUUAUCUCAAUCUUUUCCGAGAGCAUCCCAAGAGGAUGAAUUUUCAAAGCAAACCACAGGUGCGGACGACAUCAAAAGGGAUGCAGCAUAACGUGAAACUUUUUCUUAGCAGCGAACUGGGACAUAGUCCAAAGAAGAAUACCAAACUCUUAGGACGCGAGUUGAGGAGCAACUUCCACCACAAUCAAACCACACCCUUAUCAGAAGGUAUGUGGUUUUUUUCUUAGGUUUGUCGGUUCCAAUUUCGCAUUCGAAAAUUUUUGGGGGUUCACCGGAAGGAGCUUUCUAAUCUGAGUGACAAUAUGCCAAGAGUUUUAAAAAUUAUGUUCGUGUAAGUUCUUGGUUAUGGGUGUGAAGCGCGCCACAUUCAUGGCUAAGAGGUUGCAAGCCUCCUUUUCAUACUCGACUUACUUUGUCAUUUUCUAGAACCAAAGGUUAUCUCGCAUAAUAGAUUUCAUUUUCAACCAAUUGAGUCGAACUACAAGCAGCCUGAUUUCCUAAGAUGAGGGAUAUGUAGGCGAGCUCAAUGUUGAAAACUCGACUGUAUUCCGACAUUCUGUCUUAAAUCUUACUCUCGAGCGUUCUGGUAUCUUUAUAAUUUGAUAUCGGAAUGACUUUUGAAUUUUUAAAAAAUCGAGUGUAUUGAACUACAAGUGGCCUGAAUUCUCAUAUAGCCUGAGAUAUGUCGGAAACCCAUUUCCGGGGUUCGGCCAUAAUUCCUAAAGUCCAUACCAAAACCCCUCUUUCAGAAAAGAUGAAGAUGUGGUCGGUCAAAAUUAGAUUUGUCAAUUUCAUUUUCCUCAGAUUUCUUUCAUCAAUCCAAGUAAAAUUAUGGACAAUUGUUUACACCCAAUUUUGACCCUCCCCGAUAACGAUUAAUUUUUUAGCUUCUUAGAUUUCAAACAAUUUAAAAUAUUAGUUUUAUAAAAAUUUCAAAAAAAUGGGUUGCAAGUUAUUUCAAGUAGUUUUGUCACUUUUUUAUAACUUUUAAAUAAUAUAAUUAGUAUAUUUUAUGAAUAUUUGAAAAUCGUCCAAAAAGAUUUUAGUUUUAGUCAAAAUUUUGUUAAUUAAUUUGGUUAAAGUAAUAAGUUCAUAUUUUUAAAUUAAUUAGUUUAUAAUUAAGUUAAUUUUUUUAUGUUGUUAAAAUUAAGAAGCUUGUUAACUAAUUAAUAUCAAUUCAUAUUAUUUAAUUACUAGCCGAAUCUAUUCUAAUUAAGUUCAAAUCGGCAAGGUUUUGUAAUGCAAUUGUUUGGGCCUUAUUAUUUUGCAUUUCCAACAGCCCAAAUUCAAUACUCACAAAACUCAAUACACAUACAUACCAGCAACCCAUUACAACUAUACAUCAGCAAUACCAAAACAUACCCAGACAACCCAGCCCACUCUAAUUCCCAGCCCACCCCUUAUUCCCAGCUGACCCAAUCCAACUCACCACUCUAAUUCUCAAAAGAACCUAGAAUAGUGUACAAAUCCCAGCAAAAUGACAACAACUCCAACGUUCACAACGCAACACACACAGCAGCAAACGGAAAGCAACGCCAAGAACACGACAUCUCCAUGGAAUAUUCCAACAAUCAAUUCAACACAAUAGCGAGCAAACGAUUUCAUCUCAUGGCGAUAGACGGAAAAACAGCGAGGAACGCAGAAAAUAGUACACUGCAAAUUUUGUCUCCUUCCUCCCGUCCCUGUCAAUUCGCAGUUGCAGCAGUAAAGAAGUCCAAGCUUUCGUCUUUGUGACCUUGAGAUUGAGCCACAUUGCUCGCCAAGGACAUUGGAGUCGAUCUGAGGCGUCGAUUCGCCCUUUCCUCUUUUGGAAUUGGGCAAAAUUUUCAGAGAAAGGGUGUUUCCCUUUAAAGGUGAAAGGAUUGGGAGUUUAAAUUUUGAAUGGGCCUCCAUCCUAUCCGAAUUCUCACCUUUUCCCCCAAAUUUCGAACCCUAGUUUCCCCCUAUAAAUUCCCCCUCUUCUUCAUUGUGUGGGUUGGAGAAAAAUAUUGGACAAAAGUUAGGGAAAAAAAGUUUGAGUUUUUUCUUGAGCAAUUGAUUUUACACCAGAGAAAUUCAGAAUACAUUCUAGUUUUUUUUUAUUGGUUCCGAAAGAGUCUUUGUUCGAAGUCGGUUCUGAUAUUCUGGUUUAUUGCUCGAGUUUUUCAAGAUUGUGUGAGAAGUCGUUGUUCUUCCGAGCUUGCUACUGUCCGUUUGCUGCCCCCUGAAAAGGUAAUAUUUCAUUUAUGAUUUUAGCUUCUUUCGUCAUGAGCUAAUAGUUGGAUAUUUAUGGUGUGGUGUUGUAAUAUUUCUGAUCAACUGAUUUGAGGACUGUUUGUUGCUUGAUUGUUGCAAGUAAUUCGAAUGUUAGAAUUUUGAGAAUAUUCUGACUUAUUGUUGGCUGCAAAUCAGUAGUGUAAGCUUGUUUGUCUAUUCAAAUGAUCUUUUGGUCUUGGUGUUUCCAUUUGGUGUCGAGUCAACUCCUAUCUGCUAAUGUCUUUUAUUUCUCUGUUAAUCUCAUUAUGUCGCCUGCGAUUCGUAGUUAAAUUUUGAGUUUCGAUUCAACUUUAUUUACUUCUCUUUUGCGUUUCAAUUCUUGCUUAAGGUUGAAUAGCAGUGUUUGGGUUUAUGUUGUUGGUUGUUAUUUUAUAAAGCCGAACUUAUUGAAUUAUCAAGUUUCUUUUUAGCUGUCAGUGAGCCAUCUCGAAGAUUGUCAGUACUUGUUGCAAAAUCGAUUCAAUAUUUUGGCGUAUCUCUAUGCUUAUAUUAUCAUCUCUUGCAAUCUGAUCUUUGAGUAGUCUUUUAUUCUUGAGUUCUUCAUAAUGUUGAUGUAGCUUGUUCGUAGCGAUUCUUAUUUAGCUUUGGAUGAAAUUUUGGCAAUAUGAUAUUGGAACCGAAUCUAAAAAUUGUUGCCUGACAUAUGCAUGAUUUGGAUCGAUAGUAUGUAACCUCCUUAGAUUUCAAGCUCGUUAAUUUGCUGUAGUAUCUGUUCUUAUUAAGACUAGUCCAUGGGAAUUGAUGGCUUUAAUGCUCUCUGUUAACUUUCAUUUUUAUGUUUUUUUUUAAAAAAUAAAAAUAAAAAUGCUUGGCAGUGCAUUUUUAUUCUUCCAUAAACUUGAUGUUCCUUCUGUUAUUACUUCAUUUCAAUUGUUACUUGUGUAUUUCGUAUAAGUAUAUGUUGUGCGCUAAUCUUGUUUUCCUUUCUUUUCUCACAUGGAAUUCGGAUCGAGUUCAUCUUGGACUCCAUCACUCCUCUCUUUGCAUUUUCCAAAUUGAGCCAUGGAGGCUCAAUUUUCUUAUAGAGUCAACCCUAUCAACAGAAUACUGAAAUACAGGUUCCAAAAGCAGAAUACAGGUCCCGAAAAGCUGAAAAUAGGUUGUGUUAUACCUGCUGUAUACAUUGGUAUACAACCGGAAAUAUGAUUUGCAGGUGGCAAAAAAUACAGGUAUACAAGUCUGAUGAUAAAAUACAGGUUAAAAGCUCAUGUGCGGGAGCAAUGCAGAAAAACGAACCCAAAAUACGGUCCUUAUACGGGGUAUACAUAAAACGUAUAUGCAGAUUUUCUAAAAGCAAAUAGGCCCAAAAGCCUUAAGUCAUUUCCAGCAGGCCUAGAUGGCAGGAAAAUUGGCCAAAGCCCAAUGAGACAAAUCAGAAAAAUUGAAAUGAGAAUAAAUCGGCCAAAACCCAUCAUUCUGGCAACUUUAGACUUAGGACAGGUUCAAGAUUUGGGAAUUUGGGCCAAAGGCCCAAAUUUGAUUUUUCCUUCCUUUGCUCUUUAUUUGUUAUUGACUAACACUUUGGGUUUAACUUAAUUAAUUUUCCGAAGAUAGUCGUUUCUCUUUAUAUUCAAAGUUAAAAUAUUUAUUUUUCUUAUAUAUAUAUUUUUACUCAGCUCUAUUUUAGCUUUAGUCUUGUCAACACUUAAGUUACUUCCCUUUCGAAUGAUUCCCUUUAGUUUAUUUCCCCUCAAAAAUAAUUAAUUAGAAAAAAUAAUAGUAAUAAGUAAAUAAAAAAAAAUGAGUUCUUUUACUUAGUUAAAGUUUUAAAAAUUAGUCAAAGUCAUUUUUAGUCAAAUCGGCGGUCAACCGCAAGUUAGCGGACAUUCCGAGGGCCUAACACCUUCUCGGAAUGUACAUUGAACUCGAACCCUUUUUCAAUUGAUUUUAUCUGUUUGAGUCUUUUGAAAACCUUAAGUUUCUCUUGAUUUUACUAAAAAAUUAAGUGGCGACUCUGUUUCUUUUGGAAAUUCGAUUUCUCUUAAAUCAUAAGUUUAAUCGAUUUUUCGAAACUGAGUCAUUUCUUUUAUUUAUUUUUUCGAUUAAAACAAUCGAUUUUUCAAAAUUUAAAAACAAAUCUAACAAAAUUAAAACAAAUAUCAGUUUUUUAUUCGAUUUGGUUCAAAUUGCGGUUCGAUUUGGUUUCAUAACCAUAACCAUGAACAGCCCUACUAGUGAUCUAAUAAAGAGAAGAUUUAGAAGAGUUCGUCUUCACUUAACCAUCUAAAAUUAUCUAAUAAAAUCAAAUUUUGUAUUUGUAAUAAUAAUAAAAAAAGGUCACUAAUUUAUGCAUAUAAAACUCAGAAAGUCACUCAAUCGACCAAACAAUUGUUUUAUUAUGUAAGCACAACGUAAGCACUUGAGUGACAUGGUUAAAGCGCUGUAAUGUCUAACUUGUUAUGGAGUAGUGUGAAUCCCCUUGAAAUUGCCACAUGUGGACAUGUCAAUGGUUUGAGGGAUCGUUUGGUUGAGUGUAUUAGGAGAAAUAGUUCAUGUAUUAUGUAUGAUAUUAUUUAGUAUUAUGUUUGGUAGGAAUUUUGGACCUUAUGUAUAUCUAAUACAUGUAUUAGUUAUACACUCUACAUGGUUUAUAGGCAGGGGCGUAUCCGUGGGGGAGGGGGGGGUCACCAGAUUCACGUGAGCCCAUGCUCCCCUCCCGAGAUCAUAUGUAGUAGUGUUAUAUUUUUAAAAGUAUAUUAAAAUAUAGAUGUGUGAACUCACACUCAGAGUAUCAUAUAAUGCAAUGAUGACUGGGUGCGUCUCUCUACGUGAGGUUAGAAAUUUAAAUUAUAUAUGUAUCUUGUUUUAUUUUUCUUUCUAAAAUUAGAUAACACCUCUCCAAGUGGUUAUUGGUAGCACCUUUGGCAUUUAAUUAAUUCUUAUAUAUAUAUAAGAAUUAAUUUUGACCUAUAAUAUUAAAGUUUUAACGGUUUUCAAUAAUAAAAACCUAAAUGUCGAACUGAUCAAGUUUAUAUCUUAGAUUGAUAUUUUUGUAAUAGUGCACCCAUCAUCUCGAGAUUCUGGAUACACCUCUGAUUAUAGAGUGUAUAACUAAUACCUUCCAUUUGGUGGUAUUAUUGACACCAAAUUUUAGUCCUCUACAAUAUAAAUUAACUAUCGAGUUUCUUCAAUUUAAAAAAAAAUGAAACAAUUAAUUUUAUGAUAAUUUAAAGUUUUCAAGUUAUUUUAAAAGUAAUUUUGUCAUUUUUAUAAUUUUUAAAUAAUACAUGUAGUUCUAUAUAAUUAUGUAUUUAAUUACUACCUCUUACAAAUAUUCGAAAAUCAUCUCAAAAAAAAUUAUUUUUAGUUAAAUAUAUAUUAAUUAGUUUAGUUUAAUUAAUAGUUUAUAUUUUGAGUUAAUUAGUUUAUAGUUAGGCUAAUUAUUUCAUUUUGUUAAGAUUAAGAAGCUCGUUAGUUAAUUAAUAUUAAUUCAUCUUAUUUAAUUUUUAGCUGAAUUUACUAAUUAGAUCAAUUUAGCUACUCUUUAAAUUCCUCUGGUUAAAGUUGUAAUGCAAUAAGCCAUUUAAUUCGGUUAAAAUUGCAAUCGGUUGGCCAAAAUCUAAACACAAAUUGGCUAUAUAAUAAAUCCAUCUUUUGAACCCUUAUAACAGCCCAAUACAACAAGGAUGAAUUCCUCCUUUAUAUCAACUUCUUAUAUGAUUUGUAACAUCCUAGUGAUAUUUUAAUUUCUCAUGUUGAUACUUAUUUGCUUAGUUAUAUAUUGUUUUAGUAGCAUGUUAGGAUGAACAAUAUAUUGUUGAUUUUUUCUUAUUUCAUGUCUGUCUCUAUUAGAUAUAUUAGAAUUGAGAACUUGUAUUCCGAAUGAACUGAUGUUACUGAUAGAAUCUUCUAUUCUCCUUUAUGUUUAGUCGAAGAAUGUUUGUUUGUGGCCUCGAGCUUUAGUUUCAUCUCGAUUAUUGCCUUGAUUAAGAUCUUAUUGAUUUUAUAUGAGUAAUUAAUCACUUAAUGUGUAGGGGUCCGUUCAUGACUUCUUCUCCUGGAAAUAAUUUAUAAUUAGCUAUAUAUUGAUUAUGUUGGAAGAAUUUUGGUACUUACCUCAAAAUAGUUGUGUCAUGUUGCUCCUCUUUUGUGCAUUACUAUUUUUUUUUUGUAUGAGUGCUAAUUAUAUUCUUCCUUUCAAAAAUCUAUACAGUAGCAUACAUAUCCAUCUAAUUAUUUGAUUUCAUUUUAGAUUUAUGACUUUACAUUGUUUUGGUAUGUAAGUUCAUAUAUAUAUUUUUUUUCAUGAUACAUGUGAUGUCAAUCUGAGUCCACAUUGGACUUCACCUUUGCAUUUUUUUGAGUUGAUAUUACUUUCCGAGUCACCCUAGUGGAUGUCAGAAAAAUAAAGAUCUUGGAAGGCUAAAUAUAUGUGGAAAGAGGCUGGUAUACAACAGUAUACUAUUGAUAUACAGCAAUUGUAUACAAUCAAUAUACAACGUAGAAAAUGGGCUAAAAGCCCAACGUUUCGACAGCAACCCAAAAAGGCUAAUCUGGGUCCAAAUCCAAGUUUCUUUAGCCUAAACAUUAUUAUGCCUUUAUUUGUUAUAAUUUAUUUGGAUUUUAACUUUAGCUUUAUUUUAGCUUAGUUGAAUUCCCCAAAAGAUGGGCCAAUUUCCUUGUGUUGAUUUACUUCAUUAAUGAAAUCAGUUUAUCUACUCUUGUCCAUUUGAUCACUUAACUAAUUAUUUUGGCUAAGUUUUUCCCUUAUUUUCAAACAUUUAGAAUGUUUCAAGUUAACUUGGUAUCCUUAAAUAACCUUAGAAAGGUUUUAUUUUCAAAGUAAGUCAAAUAGUCGGAUAACUGCAUGGUAGAGGUUGCUUUAAGUGAUAAUACAUUCUUAAAGUAGAACUAGGAAUUUUUUCUCAUUUUUCACUAAUUUUUUUUUAAAGAUUUAUCUGUUAAGAUUUUUUAAAAUUAAGUUUUCUUAAUUUCUUUAUAAAAAUUAAGUGACGACUCUUUCUAAGUAUUUUUUUUUAAAAUUAUUUAUAAUUAGAAUAUUUCAUAAUGUGAUUUUUCUAAAAGAUUGUAAAAUCGCGACAUAACAGAAAUGACGACUCUGUUGAAGAUUUUAAAUAGGUUAUAACCUUAAGAUUUGAUUUUAUUUGACUAUAAUGUGUAUUUUCUUUUACUUGUUAAAAUUUCUUUUAAGCUAUAAUUGUUGCAUCUCAUGGCAUUGAAUUUCGUCACACGACAAAUAGAAUGCAUUAGAAAAAGGGUGGUUACGUGGUUAUCUGUGGUUGUCCGUUCAGAAAAGAACACUUUGCUUUUUGAAGUAAUAAUCGGAUAGUUGAUUCGUGGUCAUCCAAUGUCGCUAAUUAUUUUCACGCCACAAUUUUUCCAACUCUGAUACUCGAUCAUUUUUCAAAGUCCACUCUUAGUCAACUAGAGUAGUGUAAAGCCAACGUUGAUUUAGUACAUUGGCCUAAAAUGACCCAACACCCAAGGCGUGUUGGGCCCAUUAGAAAGACUAAAUUGAGUCCAAAACUCCCCCAACCUAAAUGAACGUUCAUACUUAUGUGUUUAAAUUUUAAGAAUGCAUACGUCGUUUGGCAAACCAUUGUUCCUUGGGGUUGGAAUUUAUUUAAAUAGUUUGUUCGAGUAGACGAAUAAUCAUGAGCUACUACUUCAUCGAAAAGGCGUUAGGGAUUGUCAAAAUCUCCAAGAAGGAAAGAUCUUUCACGAAGGCUUUGGUUUAGAAUUAUACCUCUGUGUGGGACUUGUUAUUUAUAUCUCUUUCCCCAUAUUAUGUAUCCCCGUUCAAUUUGCUCACGAGGCUUGUAUAAAUAUAUUUCUGGAGGCAAUAGAAUGUUUUCAAUGACGUGAUAUACCUUUCAAAUCGUUAGGCCUACUCUUGGCACAAAGGGGUGACAUAUAUGUUUAGGAUGCGCAAUAAUUAUUUAUGUGCCAUGUGAUAAUUAUUUUUGUGUGAAUAUGUUACUUCGUUUGGAUACAUACUAGUCCAUUCUCUUUUUUUGAGAAUUUUUGUAGAACCUCACAAGCACAAAUAAUCAAGUCACUAUCAAAAGUUCGUCCAAAUACUCUUUGAGUCUUAAGUAUCCCAACAAAAUUCGAACAACACUCUCAGAAUCCUAAAAUCUUACUCUUUCAUCUCAAAAAAUGUUGAACUUGCGGCUAAGAUGAAAAGAUACUUGAGUACUGAGAUCGAGGAAGUUGAAAAGGCUCUCUUGAGGAGAAUAGAGGAUAUGGACCGAGAGGUGACGAAAGUCAAGAGACAGACCAAGAGAGUCCAAGAGGCCAUCUUGGUCAAAGUUGUUGAGGUGUAAGCAGAGAUCACUUCCAUGAAGGAUGUGUUGGCUAAGGUUAGCAAUAUGUUGGAUCAUCCCUUAAGAAAAUAAGGCCCCAAAUCUAAAAAAAAGAUUAUGUUCAGGAACUUAGCGAAGUGCUUCAAAACUUCACUUCCAUCAUUAAGGACAUGAAAGUGAUUUAUGUCAACUAUUAAACAGAUUGUCUCAUCGAAAAAAAGGAAAUUUAACUCAAAGAAGAAGAUUGAAUCAACCUAUCCGGGUAGGUUUAGAGGAUUGAAAGAUCACCUUCAAAAUACAUUUUCAAGAUUAUCUUGGUAGCCUUUAAGUCACUUUAUGAUCUACCAUAUACCGCACUUUGCAGGUUAUAUGUACUCUUCACCUCCAUUAAGGGAACAUGUUUCAAGGUUGACCCCGAAAACAAUCACAAGGAGUGUACUUACCAAACUGACCAUCGGGGUUAUACUAUUGACAAAUGUCAAGAAUUGAGGACUACCAUUCAUGGACCGGUCAACAGUGGUAAGAUUAGCCAUAUAUGUGGCCCAUCCAUCCUUGCUUAUGAUCAGGUUAAAUUAAGAACUCCUAUUAUUAAAGAUGUUCUAAUCCACCACUACAAUUUCAUCAUCUCCACGGAGUCUUCCUUGGAGGUCUACAAAAAAACUAGUGGAUGAAAAGAUUUUAACCCUAUGAAAGGGAAAGAAAAUAAGACUUCCUUUGCAUGAUGUAGAAAUGGUGAGAUGUGUCUCUAUCACGGCACAACAGGACACGAUAUUAAGAAAUGUCGCAUUUUCAGGAUUGACUUGGAGCACCUCAUUAAUAUAGGGAAGAUUGAUGAAAUAGAGUUUCCACCAUAUCAUCCAUAGAGGGAGAAAGAUCAAAUAAAAAAAAGUUCGAAAGAAAGCCUCUGAAAAGGCGAAGUGUCAUUUAUGAAGUUUGUUGUUGUUUUCCUUGUUCCAUGUAAUGAAUCAAGAAUAAAAAAAAAUAUCUUUGUACAAAGUCAAACUACGUAGGGCUUGAAUUCUACUCUAUGAGAUAUGUAGACAGUCUUUUAGGGGGUCGUCCCCCUAUCUUUGUAAACUUUUAUGUCUCUUACUAGGAGAUUGAAAAUUUCACAUUUAUUUACACCAACGGAUAUCCAGAGCACAACGAUGGUAAAUGAUAGAAAAUCUUGACAUAACGCAAAUUAACCUUCAUGAUACCUGAUCCCAAGUGUGAUAUCUCAUGUUUACUAGAAACAUCAUUUAAUUAGGAGUUGAAAGUUUUCAAUUCAUUGUCCGUCUGAAUAUUCUUAUUUUCUUAAUCUACCUCUCAAUCAUUGUCUUUCAUUUAACAAAUGUAAAAAACAUCCCCUCUUUUAUAUUUAGAAACUAUAUUAACAUUAUUCUUGAGUAUUUGUCAAUCAAAAGAUCAAAAUAUCCAGGUUUUCUUUUUUGAAAAAAAAUCUAUUUUGACCCUGCAAGUCUAAAUGUGUGUAAUAUAACUUGUUGCUUGUCUUGUGCUUUGUUUUCUUGCUGAACUUCACCCUUGUCUACUUAAACAAUACACAAUAGUCAAAAAAAAAUUAACUUGAUUUUUGUAUUCAUUAAAUUCUUCUUGAUGAACAAAGAUAAUUAUUUUUUCACUUGUAUGAUUAAGUCACAAGUGUCACAACUAAAUUUGAUUCAAAUCAGCCUUUUCAGAAGCUACUGCAACUUCCUCUUCAACUGCAGUAUCCUGAUAAUUAUGAAGUAGAAUCACUACAAAAAUUAUCUUUAAUAUGUCGCUAAAUUGCUCAUAGCUAAUAGAUUUGUUUUUGCAAUUUAUCGUUAAUGCAUCCCAAAAUAAAAUUAACUACAAUUUUUGUUGUUUAGUAAUAGGAUUUGUCUAUCACUAAAUUCUGUUUUUGAUAGUAAAUAAAUUUGCCUUUAUGAAUACCAUAAAGAAUUUAUACACUUUUAUACAUUUUAAGUGUGUCAUUCUCUGAGUUGAACUUAAACCCUUGAUCAUACAAUGUUAAACGAGAAACCAAUUUUCUCUUCAUUUUAAGUGUGUCAUUCUCUUCAUGUUUUAUCUAGUGAAAUAAUGUAUUUUUCAUGUAGCAACGUAUCAACAAAAGUAUAGUAAGAUAGAGGUAAAGAAAAUAACACAAUCAAAUGAUUUAUUUUCACUCUUAGUUUUUAUAUUUGUAUUUUGGUCCAUAAUAAUUAAAUUAAUCAUCAAAGUGGAUUUUAAUGGGUACGUCCUAGUUUAUACUAAAAUUGUACAAUAUAUCUCUAAUUUAGAUAGAGAUGACUUGGCAAUGAUUACCUGGAAUAUAUAUAUAUCUCUUCUACCUUUAUACAUACUAUUGUUGUAAAAUUUUAUGCAAAAUAAUUUCACGAAAAGCGUUAUUUAUAAGCUCAUGAAAAGCAUACUCAAAUUUCUCUCCUUCAAAAAUAUUUAUUUUUGACUUUCUCAUCACUUCAAGAAAAUUCUUAUUAAUUUUUUUGUAACUCUUGUAACACCUAGGAUGAUGUCAUCCUAGUCUUUCAAAGAUUGCAAUGAGAUUCCUUUUCAAAUUUUCCUACUUCUUACUUUGUUGAAAAGGCAGAAAGGAGCCGCUUUCUCGAGUGAGAGUUCUUUUGUGGGGUUAGUUUGACUGUCCUCAUUCAAGUUUGUAGGCGUGCGAGUAAGAGGGUAGUAGGCGAAAUUUUAUGAAUUGAAUGGGACUUCAGCUUCGACAAUCGUAUUCUCUCUUCAGCAAAUAAGGUGGAGUGCGCAAGGCAGAGAAGACAGGAAAACACAAGCUCAAACUUUAGAUGAAAAAGUCAUCUUAAUUCUAAAUUUUUUUAAAAAUCAGAUUAAACCAUGACUUUGAUGUCAAGCUUUUAGUUGUUGAGAAGGUUUCCCAAAAGUGAUUUAUAAUGUGUAUCCAAUAAAAUUUACAUGUAAAUCAGAUAUAAAGAUAUGUUGCGGAAAAUUAUAAAUUAUUAGCAUACUUUCACAUUAAAAAAAGUAAACAGAGAAGAAAAAUAAAUAAGAAUAUAAUGAGAUUCAGACAAUCCUAAUCCUCGUAACAAAAAUAAAUACAAUUUUCGCUAUAAAUAAAAAAGGAUUGUACAUUACAAUCAUUAUUAUAAAUCACAAGUAAUUCCUUCUUAAUCCUAUAAGGAAUAGUUUUCCUAAGUUUUCAAAUUAACCUAUUAAAAAAUUUGAUAUAAUUAAGAUUUAUAAAAUUCAAGACACAAGCAAGAAGUAUUAAUCAAGCAUUUUACUUUAUCUAUCACUCGAGUCACAUCACACCACUAUACUUUUCAAGCCACAACCAAUUAACAUAAGUUCAAAUUCCAAUAAUCAAAUUGCACUUAACUAAUAGUGAGUAUGCAUAACAUCAAUUAGAGAAAUUGGAAAAUAAAUUGAAGAAAACAAAAACAAGACAAUUUUAUUCAUGAAUUUUAAUAUUAGCAACCAAGAUCAAAAGUGCUAAUUGUCUAGCAAUUGGUUACACAUCCCAAAAGUCAUAAAAAUGAUUACAAAAAAUAGGUAAAUCAUACUAUUACUUUAUUAGUAAAUUAGUAAUAAACUCAAAACAAACGAAAAUAAUAAUUACUAAUUUGGUCUAGUGCAAUCGAAUCGGAUCUCACCCUGGUUUCCGGUCAAAACCCCGACCCGACCCAAAUUUGUCAUGGCUGUGGCAAAUGCUUGUUUGAAUGCAUCAUUAUUAGAAGCAAAAAAGUUGACAGUAUUUCUUGAUCUUGAAUCAGUGAAAAGAAUUUGAUCAGAGACAAAUAGACCUUUUCCUUGUUGGAGGUUCUUAUAAUAAGCAUUAUCAAAAGUAUUUGGUGUAGUUGGAUCCAUGUUAAUAGCAAUUCUCGGGUCGACCCGUAAUGGACACAUUUGCUUCAAUUGUGCCACGUAAGCUUUGUUUAGGGUCGGGUCAACACUGCUCUUUGGGUUGAAAUUGUAGAGCCUCUUGGAAACACGGUUGCAAUGAGAGAAACCAAGGGUAUGUGCACCUAUAUAUCAAAAAAAAUACUUACUUUAGCAAUCCGUCUCAAUUUAAGUGUUUUAGUUUGACUGAAUAUGAAGUUUGAAAAAUAGAGGUAAGAUUUUUGAAUCUUAAGAUCUUAAAUUAAAGAAAUGUGUGAUCUUUGAAAUUUUGUGGUGUGAGGUAGAAUGUAUAAAAAUAUAUAUUAGAAAAGGUAUAAUACAUAAAAUUGUCAUUUAACUUGACUUCGUUUCACAUUUAUGUCCUCCAACUUUGAGUGUGCAUAAGUAAAUACUUAAACUUGUAUAAAGUUGAAUAAGUAGACACAUCAGUCAUAUGUGGCAUUAGGACACCACGUAAGAUGCAAUUUAUCAUGUUGGAUGUCACGUAGGACGUGUGUGUCUGUUUGUCCAACUUUAUAUAAAUUUAAGUGUCUACUUGUGCAUAACCAAAAUUGGAGGACAUAAAUGUGAGCUAAGAGAAAGUUAAAGAACAUAUAUUUAUGUAUUAUAUCAAUAGAAAAACUUACUAAAUAGUAUACAAAGAGAUCAGUCCAAAAAGAGAAAGUAAGACGGUUAAAUUAGGACAUGAGAACGAGUACCUGAUAAUGCAAUCAUAUCAGUUUGGCUAAGGCCACGUCUGGCAAACAUGGUAUUGAGCUGAUCUAGGUUGAAUCCUUCACCUGGAAGUUGAUGUUGGACUGAGGUUAAGGUUGAAAUUUUCCCAUCACGACGGCCCAACUCCACUGGAUAAAAUGGGCCUCCAGUCUACAAUUAUAUAGGGAAUAUUCAUACAACUUAAAUAAGGUAAAAGAAAAAAUAAGAAGGGGAAAACCAUCUAUAUACGAAAUCAAGCAGUGUUUUUACUGAAACACGGUAUGUUCCUCCUUGAUGUCAUCACAAUAUAUAUAAUGGUAUCAAGGAGUACUGAAGCAGUGUUUUUUCCUCUUUGAUACCAUCAGAAUUUGAUGGUAUCAAGUAAUAAACGCACAUUAGUAGGAAUAAUUUACCAUAGCAACGACUUCUCUAGUGGCCAAAGCUAAAAUAUCCGCACAAGAUACUUUGUUACGGCAUUUAGAGUCACUGUCCACAGCUGCUUUGGCUUUGACAACAGUGUCAAACCCAUCACCUGCUAAUGAAAGAUUAUCUGGAUGGUCCUUCUCUGCUUUUCCAUUUGGUGAUGCCAAUAGCAUUGAUGCAUCACAACCCUAAAUUUUUCAUCACACAAUAAUAAACGUCUGGUUUUUCGAUAUGCAAAGAGGCAGGGGAAGGGGAAGGGGAAAUUGUUGUAAUUGAGACAAUUCGAAUGGAUAAUAUGAAUUUGGAAACGUACCCUAACAAAGCAAUCAUGAAAAAAGAGUCGGAGAGUUGCUGGAGCCGUAACAAAAGUCUGUUGAAAUUUCAGUCUAACUGCAGAACGAACCAAUGACUCAACAUUUGGACAUGUAUUUUUGUAGAAGUCUGUUUUCAAUUGACCAAAUGCAAUACUACUAACACUUAGAAACAAAAACAGAACAAACAACAAAAUACUACUCUUUUUUUUAUUCUCCAUUUCUUUUUUCCUCUUGAGAUAUUAAUCUGAUGAUUUUAUGGGUUGUAUUUAUACUAAGUAUAUAUAGAAAUAUAUCCAAGUGGGAAGUUAAAUUAAAGUUGGACUUUGGCUAAAUACACCCUGGCCAUUUGUUCAAUGAGAUUGUGCUUGAGUUAUGGUGAGUUUUUUUUUUUUCAUUAUCAUUCUUUUAUCACUAAAGUUAAUUAUGAGUAGCACAGUAUUUUUAUAUGGUGGAUUAGAGAAUGGCAGAUCAUUAGAAAUAGAAUAAAAUAAUACUACUCCUUAAUUGCAGGUAUUACAUUGUUUUGUAUUUUAUUUUUUUUAUAAAAUAAGAAAAGAGAUCUAAGUGUGUUUGGUAGGAAAGAAAAAUGUUUUCCUAAAAAAUAAUUGAGCUCUUUUUUUUUUUUACUUAUUUUCUAGUAUUUGAUAAGCAAGUAAAAAAUUAAUAUUUCAAGAACAAUUAUAUAUAAGCUAACAAAAUAUUAUGAGGUUGGGAUGUGGUGGGGGAGUGGGGUGGAGGUGGAGGGGUGGAAUGUUCAAGAGUUCAGGAUUUCGAUAAGAUGAGUGCAUGAUUACGUAAAAAUGCAUCUUAAAUAUAAAUUUUAUCAGUUUGAUUUUUAGGUUCUUAAUAUCAACCAUUAAAUUUUAAAAUUUAUAGGUAAAAAAUAUAUAAUACUACUAGUUUUAAAUUCUAAUACACACAUUUAAUUUAAUUAUAUAAAAAAUUUAUCAUGCUAAAAAAUUUUAUGUAACACACUUAAAUUUUUUGAAAGAUUAAAGAAAAAAAAACAAAAGAAAAAUUAAUUGAAAUGCCAAAAGUGUAACUGAUAACCACUUGGGAGGUGUUAUUCAAAACACAAGAUAGAUAUAAGAUUUAAAUUUAUAUUCUCACCUAGAGAGGCGCACUCAAUCAUCAUCGUAUUAUUAUAUGAUACUUUGAACGUGGGUUCACAUAUCCAGGGGUGACUCAACGUAAUUGGGGGCCUAAAGCGAAAUUACAAUUCAAUGCCUAAAAUAUAAACAAACUCCGUAUACGUAUUUAUUCAAAUUUUACUUUUCUUACAUUAUUUAGAUGAAAAUUAUUAGUAUUUAAUAUUGUAGUUUUAGGUAAGAUUUUAUCAACUCAACAUUGAAAAACAUCCUUUCAGUGAGGUAAUUAUUAUAAGAAUUGUUAACAUAAUUUUAUAAGUAAUAAGUUGACAAAUAUUAAAUAAAGAUAAGAGUUAGAACCAUAGAAUCUUAAGAAGUUGAUGACUUGGUAUACCCCAUUUUAAUAUGCUUGUCGUAAUGCUUGAAACUAAAAUUUAAAAACAAAUACUUUUCACUAUUAAUUCUUAUUUUUAACAAAGUACAAAAGAUGUUAAAGUGGGGUAAAAUAAUAUAUUUUUUAAAAUAUUAUACUUUUUAUCAUAAAUAAUCCAUUUUUUCUAUAAAAAAAAAAUGUAACACGUAAUUUAUGCUUGAUAAAAAUUUGGGGGCAUAAGGCAUAAGCUUUAUUUUACAAAGCAUAGAAUCGCCUUGCACACAUCUAUAUUUAAAUAUUUUUAAAAAAAAAUACAACAUUACUAUAUAUGAUCUAGAGAGGGGAGUAUGUGUUCAUGUGAACCCGCGGCACCCCUCUAGAUGCUCCCCUGGGUGGGGGUGGAGGGGUGGAAUGUUUUAGAGAUGGGGGGUUGGGGACAUUGAUUGAAUUGGGAGGAGACAAUGAACUUGAAAAUUACUUUUCGUAUUUGUUUUUCUUAUUUUCAUUAGGAAAUCAUUUUAAGAAAAUUAUUUUCCUAAAAAUAUUUUGAACAACCAAACAUGAAAAUUAGAGACAUUUUUAUUUUCCCGGUACCAAAACACAAAAGGUAAUACCAAAGACGUGUCCUAGAAUAAUUUGUUUUACAAAUAUAUUACCAAUAUAUUGUUUUAUUUUAAACUAUUAGGUGGUACAUUUUUAUUUUUUUUGUGUAUAUCAAAAUUAAAACAAUGUCAUUCACCAUUAGAAAUAACUUAACUUGAGAUUUUUCCUUUUUAUCUUUAGUAAAAUAAUUUACAAUCACAUAACUAUCUAAAAUUUACUUUAAAUCAUAAAAUGUCAUUCACCAUUAGAAAUAACUUAGCUUGAGAUUUUCCUUUUUUAUCUUUGGUAAAAUAAUUUACAAUCACAUAACUAUCUAAAAUUUACUUUAAAUCAUAAAUUUUGAUAAUCUUUCUUUUUUUUUCUUAAAAUUUUAUACCAAGUAAAAUGGUGACGCAUGAAUUAGGACGGAAUACUUAAUUAGAAUAUUUCAAAUGAACGUUAUAACAUCUUCCGGCAAUAAUAGUAAAAUAUAUAUACCCUCUAUCUCAAAUUAUAAUGGCUUGAUUUGAAGUAUAAAGGUCAAAUUAAUUAAUUUAAUAUGAAUUCGGAUAUAACAUCUUCAAGUUUCUUUGAAAUAAUUUUAAAUAUAUAGAAAUUAAAUAAAACAUACCAUAAGUAACAAUAAUUAGUAACUAAAAUUUUAAUAAAUAUGUUACAAUAAUUAAUAACUAAAAGUAUUUCUAAUAAUUAUGAUUAAAGAAAAUAUUUUUUAAUUAAUAAAAUAAUAAUAUAAAAUAAAACAAAGAGAGUAGUACCGUUACUUGUCUUGACCUUACGCACCAAUCACCAUGCCUUGAGUGCACCAAGAAGAAACUUUAAAUGACAGUUUUUUCUGGAAAUACUAAAUAGUACUCCCGGUCCCUAAUUACUUAUCCACUUUUGAAUUGACACACCUAUUAAGAAAUUAAUUAAUGACAUAGUAAGUUUACCAUUUUAUCCCUAUUAAUUAUGAAGUGGAUGAAAAGUUCUGCAUUUUUCAAAAUAAUUAGUCAUUUAAUUGAGGGUAUAAUAGGUAAAAAAAAAAUUGUUUUUUCUUGAUUUGUCAAAAUGGACAAGUAAUUAUGGACAACUAUAAAAGAAAAAAUAAACAAGUAAUUAGGGACAGAGGCAGUAAUACCGUCUAUUUUUACUUGUCCACUCUACUAUUUAGGGUUGUCCAAUAAUACUUGUCUAAUUUAUAAAAUUAAUAAAUAAUUUAUCAUAUUAAGUCUAUUUUAUCCAUACUAUUAAAUAUUAUUCAAUUUUCAACGUUUAGAUGACUUAUACUCCCUCUGUCCCUAAUUACUUGUCCACUUUUAAAUUUGACACACUAUUAAGAAAAUAAUUAAUGACAUAGUAAGUUUACCAUUUUAUCCCUAUUAAUUAUGAAAUGGAUGAAAAGUUCUAUAUUUUUCUAAAAUAAUUAGUCAUUUAAUUUGAGGGUAUAAUAGAUAAAAAGAAUUUGUCCUUUCUUGAUUUGUCAAAAUGGACAAGUAAUUAAGGACAACUAUAAAAGAAAAAGUGAACAAGUAAUUAGGGACAGAGGGAGUAUUUAAUAGGGGUGAUUUGAUAAAAUUAACCUUUUCAUAUGUUGCUUCUUAAUCUAUAUGUCAAAUCAAUAGUUGACAAUUAUUGUUUAAUAGAGAGGAUUAUUUUAUAUACACUUCUAAGUUAAAAUACAUGUAACAUAUCGACUUAAACUUUGAUGUAACAUAUACCUUUUACAUCACACCAAAUGUUCUACUACUGCCUACUUUAGUUUAUUUUCUUCUUCCCAUUAGUAUUGAUUUAUAAGAAUACUACUAGCCAAAUUAAGUUUAAUUAAAUACCUCCCCUAUAAAAUGUUAAGGUGAAACAAGUACUCUUUGUGUUUUCUAUUAAUCCUGUGGAGUUCAUUCAAUGUCAAAAUAAUGGACUAUCUUUGUUGAAUAUAUUGUCUGGAGAUGGACACAAUCGAUUUUUCACAAUUUAAAUUUUAUUAUAUCAAAUUAAGAAUUCGUUUCGGUCUUAUAAUCAUAAUCACUUACUCAUUGCUUGUUUCAGCAAAACUCUUUACUUAACACUCACUCUUGUUUGUUCUCCCACUUUCUUUCUUGUUUUCUUACUUUGUUACUUACUUCAAUGAACCACCUCUAUUUAUAGGUGGUGAUGGAACAAUCUAGCUAAAGAUAUUUUCUACUUAAUUUUAGAAUGUUCCUCCAUCUACUAAGUUCUAGAAUUACCCUUUCUAGAAUAUUUCUAGAUUUUUCUCUCUAAAAUACUCAUUCUAGAGAUCUUUCUUUAUUUCUUUACCACUCUUGAAAUGUUUUGAAUAUUAAUUAAGUUGGUGAUAAAUUCUUAACACUCCCCUUCAACACCAACUUAAUUUUUUGUUUGUGUCCGUUGUGGGCAAUUCUUAGAACUUUGCAAGCAUCAUGAUGUACAUGCCUUUGAGGAUCUCCACCUUCGAUGAAUUAUUUCAGACCCUACUCUUUAAAGCUUCUUCGAAUGUAGUAGCAUCUUUGAUAUGACCCACCUCUACUAAUGCUGCAUCUAUAUACUUGCCUUCUGGACAUUUCAGCCUUGUAGACCUCGUUUGUAGUGGUUGUAAUGCUUUAUGAACUUUUUCUUGCAACACAUCUGAAGUUUUACAAGCUCCAGUUUGCCAUAAGCUUUUUUUUCCUUUUGUGGAGAUACCUCUAAUUUGGAUUCUCUUCUUACCUCUUGGCCGUUUGUUUCUAUCUUGUUCUUCUCUUCUUCUUUUUUUUCAAAUUUUUGUAGCUCUUGCUUCAAUUUCCUUGAAUCUGGUAGGGAGAUUUCGUUGUACCAUCAUGUUGGUGCUUCACCAAAUACCACAUAAGUUGUCUCGGCAGACAUGGCAUAUAUUGACUAUAAUCUUCUUCCCUUCAUGACUGGCAAGCUUGUUGCUUUCAAGCUUUGAUAUACCUUAACGUCAUUCGACUCGAACACAACAUAGUUUCUUAAACCUGUUAAUUGUGACACAAAUAAUGUGGUAGAUAUUUUGAAGUUCCACUUAUCUUAAGCUAUGAUGAGGCAUGAAUACCGUUGUAGACAUUGAAAUCUUGUUGGACUCUACAAGACGCGUUCAAUUCUAGUUGGGACUCUACAAUAUGUGUUCAAUUCCAAUUAGGAUUCUUGGAGGCUAAACCCUAAACCCUAGUUCAUGCAUAUAUUAAGGGUAUUAUAUUCUCUUGAAAAGGCAUCUCGAAUAUUCCACAAAAGUCAUGAAAUAUUCAUAUAGAGGUAAAAUCUAAAUCAUCCUAGUUCGAGAAAUACGCCACUAAUGGCCCUCGAAUCAUAGAUAAAUCUCAGGAGAGUAGAAUCAAGGGAGGAACAAAAUUGUACUCACACUAUUAUCAAUAAAAUAUUCAUGUUUCUUUAGAUUUUAUUUGUGUGGUUUAUUUAUUUUUCAUAUGUUUAAAAUUUGUUGCAAACAAAUUGGCACGCCCAGUGGGACCAAAUCUACCCUUUAUCUCUUCUCUUAUAAAUAAAAUCUGAAAAUCUAAAGCUGGGAAGGUGGUAGAAUGAGUACUUCAAGCCUCGUCUUUAAGUUUCAUUAAGUCUACACUCCGACAAGCCUUGAAGCAGGGGGAAUUUUUAGACAUUGAAAUUUUGUUGGACUCUACAAGACGUGUUCAAUUCUAGUUGGGACUCUACAAUAUGUGUUCAAUUCCAAUUAGGAUUCUUGGAAGCUAAACCCUAAACCCUAGUUCAUGUCUAUAUAAAGGGUACUAUAUUCCCUUGAAAAGACAUCUCAAAUAUUCCACGAAAGUCAUGGAAUAUUCAUAUAGAGGUAAAAUCUAAAUCAUCCUAGUUCGAGAAAUAUGCCACUAACAGCCAUUGAAUCAUGGAUAAAUCUUAGGAGAUUAGGAUCAAGGGAGGAACAAAAUUGUACCUGCACUAUUAUCAAUAAAAUAUUCUUGUUUCUUCAGAUUUUAUUUGUGCGGUUUAUUUAUUUUCCAUAUGCUUAAAAUAUUUUGCAAACAACUGUCUUGUCAAUCUUGUGAGUUAUUGGCAUUCUUGAAUUAUUUGCAGUCACUACUACUCGACCACCUUUAUAUUCACUCAUGUUAAUAAGCUUUUCCUCAUCACCAGUCACAUGAUUGGAACAACCCAAAUGAACAAUCCAAUUAUGUUCAUAAUCAAUUAGUUUCUCACUACUAGUUGCAAGUGCAAGCUCAUCUUCUUUGUUAGAGUGAUAGGUGACAAGUUUCUCUUAUUGAUUGCUUUCUUCAACUACAUAAGAUGUCUCAAAAUCUCAUUCUUGUUGUUAUUGUUGUUAGUGGUUUUGAGAAGAAGUAGCUACAUUACCUUUAACUUUCUUGUAUCAGCAGUCUCUGGGUAAUGUCCUUUCUUUCCACAAUUGAAGCACCUCUCCAUUUGAUAGUUGUUGAAGCCUUUCGCCUGCUUGUUUAAUCGUUGACUUCUUUGAUAUUGAUUCUUUUAGUCUCCCCCUGACCAUGAGCUUCUCUCCGCUUCUCGAUAUUUAUAAUAUUGUCUUUUGUUGAAUAGGUCAUUAUCUUCAUCUUUAAGAAGACUUGAUAAUGACUUCUCCAUGUCUUCUUCUUUUGCCAACAAAUUUUCUAACUCAGGUAAAGUUUGUUCUGUGGCCCACCCCCGUGUGGUUAUAAUUAUACCUUUGUACUUCGGUCUUAGACGAUGAACAAUUAUUCUCCUCAUUCUUGUCUUUGUGAUAGCAUAUUCUCUAUCUAAUUUUGAUAUUUCAUCAGAUAGAGAUUUGAUCUUUGAGAAGUAUUGACUGAUUAUCAUAUUUUGUUAUGAGAUCGAUAAAAGAACAUUUUCAAAAAAUUUUAUCUUGCAUCAUUUUUCUCUGUGAAAAUCGUCGUUAGUGUGUCCCAAGCUUCUUUGGGUAUCCUGGAAUUCUUAAUUCGUUGCAAGAACGCAUCCUCAAUUGUUACAGUGAGAACAAACAUGAUAUUUCCAGCUGACCUUCCACAUUUUUACUAUUUCAGCAUCUGUUGGUGGUGUGGUGUCUGGUCAAUCAAUGAUAUUCCAUAAUUCUUGGCAGAGAAAGUAAUAUUGUAUACUUGUGCUCCAUGAUCCGUAGUUACUUGCGUUGAGUUUCUCAACGCUAUUAAGAGUGCUUGUGAAAUCUACCAUUGAUAAGUGUCUCAGGACUUGUAGCGUCUGACAAUAGCUUGUAAGAUCUUCUUUGAGUUGCUACCUCACUCUUAUCCACCAGGUUCUGAUACUACUUGUUGAAUAUUUAUUUGUGGAGAUGGACAUAAUCAAUUUUUCAUAACUUAAAUUUUAUUAUAUCAAAGUAAGAACUCGCUCCAGUGUUACAAUCUUGAUCACUCACUUGUUGUUUGCUUUAUCAACGUUUUUUACUUAGCACUCACUCAUGUUUGCUCUCUUACUUUCUUUCUUGCUUUCUCACUUAGUUACUUACUUAAAUGAACCACCUCUAUUUAUAAGUGGUGAUGGAACAAUCUAGCUAAAGAUAUUUUCUACUUAAUUAGAAUGUUCCUCCAACAACCAAGUUCUAGAAUUGCCCUUUCUAGAACAUUUCUAGAUUUUUCUCUCUAGAACACUCAUCCUAGAGAUCUUUCUUUAUUUUUUUACAACUCUCGAAUAUUCUAGAUUCUUCUUUGAAAUGUCUUGGAUAUUAAUUAAGGUUGUGAUGAAUUCUUAACAGUCUUGAAUUCUACAAAUCCUAAUUUUGAUUUGCUAGUUUUUCUUUUCAUUUGGUGCUCGAAAUAUAUUUUGGGGUCUUGAUUAAUACAGAUUCACACGUAUUUCUUUUCAUCUAGUGGUCGAAAUAUAUUUUGGGGUGUUACGUUGACUAAUCUGGAUUCGCACACGUAAGAUUCAUUUAAGGUAAAAACUUUUCUUAACAGAUUUUUUUCAUACGUAUAACCGAGACCUUUGAUUGGGAGUGUCAAAUGGGCGGAUUAGAUUGAAAUUGAAGAUAUUAAAAUGAAUUGAAAUAGAAAUCGGGUUCGGUCAUUACAAUAUGGGAUAGUCCAACAGCAAAAGAAUGAGACAGGUAGUGACCAAGUGUGCCUCACAAUGUUCAUUUGUUUAGAAAAAAGACAAACAAAGCGCACAUUUAGGGUCUUCCUCAAGCCAUGUUACUAGUUAGUGACCGUUUCAACUAUAAUUAAUUCUUUAUAGUUUUUUCAAAGACCUACCACUCAUCUUUCAAAUAUAGUAAAUUUUUGGCAUAAUACGUGAAUAUGUCUUUUAACUUGAUUUCAUAUCUAUGUCCUUCAAUUUUGGGUGUGCACAAGUAGACACUCAAAUUUAUAUAAAAUUGAACAAGUAGACACAUGUAUCCAGGGGCGUAGCGACCCUUCGGAUACCCUUCAUUGGAAAAUUACACCGUAUUUAUAAGUAAAAUGAUACUUUAAAUGGUUAAAUAACACAUUUUGAACACCCUUGAUAAACAAUAAAGUUUCUUUGCUCAAUGGUUUCAGUCGUUUAGCUCAAGCUAAGUCAUUUGUGUCCUGCUGUGCGCAGAUUCGAUUCCCUUGAAUGGACUUUUUUUUACAUGUUAUUUGACUUUUGAUUUAUUUUCAUUAAAAAAUUAAAUAAAUCUAAAAGUAAUUACUUAAUUUAAAGUUAAUAAGAAAAUCUUAUUUAUUUAUUUAUUUCAUAAAGGUACUAAAAGUGAAAAGGCUCCAUAUAUAAUUUAUUUUAAUAUAACUCGUUUGAUUCUAUUCUUUAUUUUUCAUUUCUCGUUGUUAGUCAUCAGAGGUUUGUAAAAUCAUGAAGCAUAAAAGUGAUUUCACUCUAAACUAAAUUUUCUCUAUCUCUUUUUUCUUUGUAUGUUCACUUCUUAUCAAAUAAACGUGAACAUUAAAGUUAAACAUUAUGUAGUUUUGAUUUUUUAAAAAUUGGUAUAUUUUUUAAUUAAAAAAAUUAAUCAUUAAUGUCUCAUAGUUUCAUAUACAAAAUUUAAGUGCACCCAUUCAUUAAAUUAUUUUUAUUAGCUAUGAAAUUUUUGGACACCCUUUAUAAAAAUUUCUGACUACAACACUAUAUGUAUACUAUGUGGCAAUUCACAUCCUACCGGCACUCUACGCGUAAUAUGCCACGUAAGCCAACGUUUUUUUGUGUACCCUUGCAUACCUUAAUAAUUAUAACAGAGGUUUCUGAUCAAUUAAUUCUUAUUUCCUGAUAAAGUAAAGAAACAAACUACUCAAUUUUUACAUAAUGAGCUGCUUUUAUUAAUGAAAUAAAAAGAAGAAACCAUUAAUGUGUAGUGAAGAAAUAAGCACAUCUUUUCCUUUAUUAUCUGAAAAAUAAAUAAAUUGAAGUUUGUUAAUGUGUUGAAAUUUGUUAGUCAAAUUUAACCCAAAAAAAAGUUUGUUAGUCAACCAAACGCAUAUGAAGUCACGACUAUGCAUGGCCAACUUGCUCAACAUGAAGACGUGUUAAAUUAAGACACGAAACUAAGAUAAACAAUUAGAAUUAUUGAAGUGAAUUAUAUAUAUAUAAAUGCCAUGACCAAUCAUUUGAAAUGCACAUGCUUUAAGACUUUAACAGUUAUAAGAGGAUUAACAUGAACUUGAAGAAAAGACGUGUAGAUUUGAUCAAACCAAACAUGUUUAUUACAACUCACCAUAUUAACAUCAACCUUCCUCCUACAAUUACAUGACUAGAGCUUUCACUAAAUCCCUUAUUCCUUCCUUCAAUAUCACUAUAUGAACUUUUUAAAUUAUUGAGUCAGGUUUUAUUAUUUUAACCUAUUAUUGUAUUUUUCAAUAAAAAAAAAAUUAUUGUUUAUAUUCUUACUUCAUAAGAUUUGUCGGACAUCCUAUCUUUUUGAAUUAUAUUGAGUAUGUUAUAGUUAUUCAAUUUACAUAUGACAACUAAAAAAACUAGACCUCUUUAUGAAGUUUGGUUUUAGGCCCCCAAACUUAUUGAGACGACCUUGUAUGUAGCAAAGCAGUUUUGUCACUUUUAUCGGAGGAGAAUCUAAGAUUUGAAGUUUAUUGAUUUUUACAAUAUUCUCAAAAUAAUAAACAAUAAUAUUAACUGAGCUCACCAUCACAUAGUUAUAAAUAUUUAAUAAAUUUCACAAUAAAAUACAUAAUCUUUGUAAUAAUUAUUGAUUUUUCGAAAACCUAUAAUGAUCUAGAUCCACCAUUGACUUUCGUAUAACCAUGCAACAAUCAAGAAGUAGUGUGUUUGGAGAUUCUUUAGGGACCGAUUCAAUAUGCAUAAGUAAAUUGAAUGAGAAUUAACAUUUAGGAUCUGUUUGGAAAGUCAAAUGAUAAUUAAAAUUGGUGUGAUUACUAGAGCAAUAAUUACCUGCCUAAUAAUUACACGAAUUUGACUUCCCUCCAUUACAAUUUCCUCUCCAUUUAUUUAAGUACACAUUUAGAUGAGAAACGUGUAUCCUAUUUAAUUUUUAAAGAUCAAGAUUAUAUUUCAUUAACAAAAAUCAUAAUCAUAAUCAUAAUCAUAAUCAUAAUCAUAUACUUGUUUUCAUAUUGUUUUUUGUUUCAAUUAUUAUUUUUCUUAAUUCUACUUUUUCUAUUGAGGAGGCAAAUUACUCCACUUUUUAAGUGAUUUUUAUCCAUUGUUAUUUUGUAAGAUAAACAUAUUAUCUUGAGUGACCUUAUUGGAAUAUAAAUAAAAAGAUACUCCCUCUCUUUUAAUUUAUUUGUCCUAAAAAGAGAACUUUUGAUCUUGCAGUCUUAAAUUAAAAAUACAUCAAAUGUAUCAAAACACUCUUUAAUCUUGUGAUUUUAAAUAUAUCAAUAUAGUAUAGUGUGAAAUGGAGACCACAAUUUUAUUUAUCUAAACUGACAAUAUUUUUAUUGAUUAGUAGGUUGUGCAAAUAUUUUCAAGUUAUUUCUUGGACACAAUAUACCAAAUAAAAAAAACACAAAUAUGGCAUAUGAAUCUCCCCAAAAGAUGAACAGAAGAGGGCAAAGAAACAGAGGUUUUGUCUAUCAUUUUGUCAAAAGAGGAGAAACUUACAUGUUAUAUCAAAUUUUAGAGACCAAGUACUAAAUACAAUUGUCGAUGCUGACCAUCUACCUUAAUUCCAGGCAUGUAUUUAUUCGGCGUAAAGGCUAAGAGUCGGUGAAGUGAGUGGAAAACCAUGAGUGGCUAUGACACCACAUCUACCUAAGCCUUCAAACAAUAGAGGUGCCAAGUGCACCAGAUUUCCAAACCAAUUGACACCAAGAUAUGCAAGUUCAGGCCACUAGACACCGAAAAUGUCACUACUCGGUCCAACACCAUUCGCAACGUAGAGUGCAAUCACAUAAGAUCCAAACAAACAAGGGUAAUAGAGGAAACAUAAUAACCAGUUGAGAUCUAUAUAUACAUUUUCAGAACUUGGAUCAACUUCUGUGGAGCCUCAAGUGCCCAAAAAAAGGCAUUUUGACCCACAGUAUACUAGUGUGUGGCAGAAGAUUCAUAUUAUACUUGUUUAUGACAACAGUUAUGAUUCUUUUGACAGUCCUUAGACCAUGCGCCUUCCUUAAACUGAGAUCAUACCAAAAUAUUAGAUGACCAUUAACCGAAGUAUUAUUCAACAACUUGGCUACUCAAGAAGUUCACCUUCCAACCCAAGGUAUAGAAAAUAUAAAAUAGGACAAGAGUAAAGGGUCUUUGGCAGAGGUCAUUGUUGCACUCCAACCAUAAAUUGCAACAAAGCACCUGCA